rnacentral:lncRNA from 1 species
UAGAUUCUAGGAUUACAUAACAACUUGCCUAGUAGGAAAUAUAAGAGGAAAGGAAUUCCUCUAUACAUAUUGGAUCUAAUACUAUAGGUAAGUGGUGGGAGCGCAUCAAUGGUUUCCACUAAGUACAUAGAUUCUUGUAUCACAUAACGUACGGCUUCAGUCACGGAGAGAUGACAUACUGCAAAAGGGCAGUCGAACUUAUUCCGCAAUAACUUCUAGAUCUGUGUUCCAGAGCCUUCCGCGCAUGAUUGCAGCAUCCCCUGAACUGGAGGAAACAAAAGGAUUUUUUGGCAUGACAGGGCACUCAUCUCCCUCAAGCAUCUGAACCACCGCUUUCACAGGGGGCCGAUCGGCAGGGUACCAGUGAAUGCACCAGAGCCCCACAAUUGCCAGUUUCUUGGCUAUGUUGUGGUCGCCAUCCUCUCGGAUUCGUAUUUCAAGCUCUUCACCUUUAUUUAGAUGGUUAUAGACCCACUGCGGGAAGUACAUCUGGCUCAUGUUCUUCGCGUUCACAUCAACGUUUUUUCUCCCCCCAACCAUUUCGAGCAGCAGCAUUCCGAAGCUGUACACGUCCGACUUAGACGACACGCUUCCAAAGUUCCUGGAGAAGACUUCUGGGGCAAUGUAACCCAUGGUACCUCUGGCUGCAGUCAUGGACACCGCACUUUGUUCCUUGGAACAUAGCUUUGCCAGACCAAAAUCCGCAAUCUUAGGAUUGAAGUUGUUAUCUAGCAAGAUGUUGUGCGGCUUAAUGUCGAAAUGGAGGAUCUUAUGAUCACACCCCUGGUGAAGAUACUCUAUGCCUUUGGCCACUCCGAGAGCGAUAUCGUGGAGCCUCUCCCAACUAAGGAAAGGGUCGAGAGUGUCCUCGCCCUGAAAUAUGAACUUCUCCAGAGACUCGUUAGCCAGGAACUCGUACACCAAGGCUCUUCGGAAACCGUCGGCGCAGAAACCAACCAUCCGGACCACGUUGACGUGGUGAAUCCUUCCCAUCGUGCUCACUUCGUUGAUGAACUCCUCUCCAUUCCCGAAUGAAUUGUCCAGCAUCUUCACGGCGACAAAAAUCUCGUCCGAUAGCUUCCCUUUGUAGACCGUUCCGUAAGCCCCCUGGCCUAGUUUUUCCUCGAAGUCAUUGGUUAUCCUCUUGAUGUCAUUGUAGGAGUAACGGGUGGGCUUGAGGGCCUCAUAGUCAUGCAAGAAGCUCUCGAUCUUGAGUUGGAAUGCUUUAUCUCUUCUUUUUUCAUUGAUGACAUAGCCGAGUCCGCUUAAUACAACAAGAAAGAGAAAAAAGCCCACCACUCCUCCCGCGAUCUCUAGAUUUCUUUUUCCUGCAGAUUCAAAGAAGUCAGUACUCGAGCUUCUGCCGAAGUUUGUAGGAAUGAUAAAACAACUAGAAUAAAAGCCCUCAAAACCAGUUAUAUCAGCUUUACUUAACACCGUGACUGACCUUCAUUUCAGGUCAUCACAGAUUAUUUCUAUAAAAACUGGGCAAUCAGGCUUCAGAACACCUUCAAUUUAAUUUACAGAAAGUAUCAUCUGAUAAACGAGACUAAGUUGUGGAAAUGCAUCCAUCCGGCGGAAUUGCACGUGUAAAAGCAAUCUUAGUUUCGCAGAAGCCCUAUUUCUUGCUUAGAAACUAUGAUUCUCCUUCCUCUGCGCUCCGUCGAUCUUAUCUUUACAAAAGAGAGACUUGAUAAAUUUCAACAACCAUAACUCAGAAAGCAAUUUUGCUAUACUCAUCACCAGAUUUUAAAAGCUUUGGAAUGAUGGCCUACAGAAAAGGGCUCGAGCAUUAACAAUCGCUUAAACUAGAAAGUGAAAUAACACAACAGUCAAGCAAAGUCUCAUGAAACAUAAAAAGUUUGGGAAUCGAUAAUACCUUCGUGUCCACCAGAAGGAUUGAUGCAGAAGAUGCCCCUCUCGUUCUGCCGACACCACUUACCUUGAUUCGUGCAUCGCCCGCAGUCCGGCUUUUUUUUGUCCCAGAACAAACGGACCUCGUCCAUCAUGCUAUCGAUCAUCAUCGGGAGCAAGUCGAUACUCCCGUUCCUCAUGCAGGACACCAGUGGCAAGUCUCCGACGUAGGAGUCGGACUGGACGGCGAAGACGUCGUACUCGGAUGUUUUCACGCAACCCAGCCGGGUCAUGCUGCUGUCGCUCCUCCCGUCCUUCGGGCACUGGAACAGGGUAUAGUUGUAGGGCGGCGAAUAACCACUAUACGAGUAACCACUACUAUCCCGGUUGAGUGAGCUGUUGUCGUAGAAGAAGAUAGAGUGGUUGAGGUUCGCCAGCAGCACGGGGAUGCAACUGUCGCGGUCCCGCACGCCGAUGGAGGUGUUAUUGUAAUCGAUGUCCGUGACGACAAGCGGCCGCGGGGUGUCCGGGAGCGAGAGCUGGGUGUGCCCACGCUCGUCGCAGGACAACUUGAAGUCCGGACUGUAGCCGCAGUUGUGAGGUUGGUCGCUGUGUUCGAGCAGGAACGGGAACUGGACGUCCGGCCCGUGAGGGCAGCUCCGGGGUCGGCAAGGGUCGUCGUGGGCGGGGUCGGCGGUGCCAUGGGCGAAGCAGAGGAAGAGGAGGACGAGGGAGGGAACGGAAGAGCGCAUGGUGGAUGGAUCAACUGGUUUCCUUACGCUCUCUCUCUCUCUCUCUCUCUCUCUCGCUCUGGGUCUCUCUCGUUUUGUAAUUCUCGUCAGGCCUAUCCUCGAGAGAGAGAAAACCAAGAACCGUUGUUGCAUCUGCAAUGAGUUUUACUUUGACUUGGACUUUUCGCGGUCCAUCGUUGUCUGUCAGUCGCCCCCGCGUUACCAAUGUAUUCUUGGGGAAGCGAGUGCACGGGAAGUUUACUCGGUCAAGUCAAGCUCGAACUCGCGAAGCAAGUUCCUCCUCCUUUCCUCGUUUGAAUACCUUAAACUACCCAUUCAUUUAAUAACUUAAAAUUUAAAAUAAUUAGUAAUUAUUUUAUAAAAUUUCACACUGUCUCCGUCUUUUUUUCUUUUGGUUUUGCUCUCGGGCCAUAUUCAACCAAUGGUUACUCACCCAUGGCCCUCCUUUUUUUGAGUAGUGUCCCGAAUUGAAACAUGGGUAUUUUUUUUUUUUGACGAUAUUGUCAACCUAUGUUUUCCCCAAAAAAUUAGGAAAAAAAAUAAGAGAAUUGAAAGAAAAAAAAAUUGUAGGUAUCUGAGAAUGGUUUCCAAAUUCUUUCAGCUAUGCUGGUGUCAAGCAAAAUGAGUUCCCUUUUGGUGAAAGACGAGUUUUACUUAUUCCAAUUUUGCCUGGCCUGUUUGAUUUGUGGAUCGGAUGUUUAAAUGACCGUUACAAACACGAAUAAUCAUCAUUCUGAUUAGAAAUUGAUUUCUAGAAGAGAAAUAAAAUUUUCUAUUUUUUAUUCUUAUAUGAGUUUCUAAGCAAACAAGAGUGGUGGGGGAUGGUGGGGGCAGUGGUGGCUGACGGUCGGUGAUCGGUGGAUGACGAUAGGCAAAUGGAGGCGGCCGGCAACUGGUGAGAACGUGGCGGCGAGCAUCGGUUGAUGGAUAACAAUUGGGGAGUGGUGGUCGGUGGCAAUCGGCGGCCAAUGACUGACGAGCUGGUGGCAGCGGAUGAUCGACAACGGCUAGCUAGUAAUGAGAACAAAUGACGAGAAGAAUUUUUAUUUCUCAUUUCUGUUCUAUAAAUAGAGAAGUAAAAUUUUUUUACUUUCAAUUUUUGUUCUAAAUUUAUUUUUGCAGUGAAAAUCUAUUCCAAAAAUAGAAAAAUGAAAUAGUUUUACCAAAUGCAUUUCUGUUUUGGAAACAAUUCUGGAACAGAAAAAUAAUUUUGGGACAAAAAUAUAAUAAUUAUCUUGGGUGCCCUAAAUUGAGAUGAAGAAUGCAUCAAUAGUGAAAAGAAUAAUGUAAAUAUACAAUCAUUUUUAAAAUUUGAUAAUAAGUUUCACAAGAGCACUCGAAUAUUAAUGUAUUGGGGAACAUCGAUUUGCGGGCAUGGUAAAAGAUAUGUUGACAAACAUUGACAUGCCUUAAAGAAUAUCUUGAAAGCUUGCAUGUGCACUAAUUGUGUGAUCAUGUCGAAACCGUCCCUCAUUUUUCAUUAUUUAAGAAAAUGUUUAGAUAUAAAUUAUUGUCAAUAAUGAAGACAUAUUCGGCAGACAGAUUAUUUCAAGUAGCAACAUAAGCAAUCAUUUUUGAGAAAUUGUUUUUUAAAUCAUUUAUUUUUCACGAAAUCGAAACCUUAGUUUAUUUUCAUCAAAUUAAUUCAUUCGACCAAGCCAACGCAUAGUUAAGCGUUGACCAACAACUUACAUGCUUACAUUAGAAGUACACGGCUAAAAUGGGUAUACCAACACAACCUAGAGAUAAAAAGAACAAUACUAAAUGGGCAUUAAUGAAUAGUGAAUAUUGAAAUACAUUCUCUUUUAUGUGCAUUGUCAUAUAUAACAACACGUGAAAGCAUAAUAGGCGUUCUUUAUCUAAAUGCUCUCAAGGUAAUCUUUAACAAUAUCUUUAGUGUUAAUCUUCUCUUAAAAACAAAUCUUAAUGUUUCAAGAACCAAGCAUUCACUUGGGGAUUUUUGCACAAAGUUGAAUUAAAUUGCUUAUGGUUGAAAAUAAACUACUUAUGAUUUUUUUUUUUUGGAAGAAUUUAAAACCUUUGUGUUAAGUAAAAGUUAAUAGUGUUAAUUCCCCCAAAAUUUAUAGUCUAAAAGUAAACACCAAACUUUAUAAACCUUCCAUCAAGUCGAUUAUGUGGCCGACUUGGAUGACUACAAAUUUUAGGCCACUCGCAUGCAUGUGGACCUUACUUUUGUUGUGAUAAAAUAAUAAAAAAUACAAGCCAUCAAACUUUAUAAACCUUCCAUCAAGUCGAUUAUGUGGUCGACUUGGACGACUACAAAUUUUAAGCCACUCACAUACAUGUGGACCUUACUUUUGUUGUGAUAAAAAAAUAAAAAAAAAGACAAGCCAUCUAGUCCAGCCCGCAAAUUGAGGAUUUUGACUGCCCAAUCCUACCUGUAUAACAUCCUAAAUUUUCCUUCUGGUUUUAGAAAUUAUUUUGUCACAUGAAAAUGAGAUUCCAACUAGAAAAAAAUAAAACAUUAUUAGCAUUUCAAAUAGAGUUAAUACAUUGAAAAAUCUCAAAAUGGUACAUCUGUGAUAAAUUUACCAAAAUUUUUUUUUUUUUUACCACAAAAAACCCCAAAUUGGUAUAUCUUUAACAAAUUUACCAAAAACUGAUACAUUUGUGAUAAAUUUACCCUAUAUUAGUUUUAGUUAAAUUUUACUGUCAAAUUAUUAAGUUAAAUGACAUGUAACAAUUUAUUGGUAUACCAAUUUGGAAUUUUACGCUCCGUUUGUCAUAAUUUACAAUUUUUGUGAUUUUUUUGUGUGGUAUUAAUCCAAUUUAGCGAGAGUAUAUUUGUCACAAAUUUACUAGUUUGGGGUUUUUUGUAAUCAAAUAAAUUAGUUUUGAGUAAAUUUGUUAUAAAUGUACCAGUUUAGAGUUUUUUAUGAUUAAUUGGGUAAAUUUGUCAAAGGUGUACCGAUUUGGGGUUUUUUAAGGUAUUAACCCUUUCAAAUAUUGAUCUCAUGGGACUAUAUAUAUAUGAUGACACAUUAGAUCCAAUGCACAAUGAAUUACGUAAAUUUCAUGAGUAUUUCAUUGUAAUUACAAAAGUGCCACUAGAUUGUUGAAAUAUUAGGGAUGAAUGGUUUUAGGCUCUAACUUCUCAUUCUGUACAAGUUCUAACUAAAAUUUGAAAUCUACUCGUUAGAGCAAGUUUCUUAAGACUCGCAUGACAACCGUGCUAUUUCUAGCUAGAACUAUUUUUUUUGUUUGAGAAAUAAGUUUAGAAUAAAAAUUUGUUUGAUAAUGCAAUUUUAUUUUUUAUUUUUAGAACAAAAUUUUAGUCAAGAAAUAGGUUUGAAAUAGAAAUAAGAAGUAAAAAUUUUCCACUUUUCUAUUUUUGGAAUAGAAAUGAGCAAUAAAAAGGGAUAGGUGCAUUAGAAGUUCUAAUGUCACAACAGUGCAAUUGAGUUCUAAAGUUUUUAAAAAGUGCAAUUAAGUCAUAACACUUAUCAUAAAAGUGUAAUCAAGUCCUAAAAUUUUCAAAAAGUGUAAUAAAGUUUUAACACUUAUUACGAAAGUGUAAUUGAAUUCUAAAUUUUUUAAAAAGUGUUAUUAAUGGAAUGAUUUGAUUUGACCAAUUUGACAAGUUUUAAUAUUUGAUUGCAUUUUUUUUAAAGUUUUAGAAUUUUAUUACACUUUUGUAACAAGUUUUAUGAGUUAAUUGGAUUUUUUAAAAAAUUUAUGAUUAAAGUACACUUUCUCGACAAGAUUUAGGACUUUCAAUGCAUUUAAAAAAUAAAAACUCUUCUCAUUACUUGCUCUUGUUACUAGCCAGCCGCCCGCCCGUUGCUGCUCGCUCUCUACCACCAUUUGUUGGUUGCCAUUGCCACUGUUGGUCGCCAACCACUAUCGUUGAUUGCCAUCGCUGCCCAAGAAAGAUAAAUUUUAUGUCGUUAUCAAAUGAAAAUUUAUUCCAUAAAUAGAAAUUUUAUGUCGUUAUCAAAUGCUUAUUUUUACUUAGAAGCUCAUUUAAGAAUGUAAAUAGAUUUUUUCUAUUUCUAUUCUAGCAAUCAAUUUUUGGCCAUGAAUAGUUAUCAUUCAAGUUCUUACUUUUUAGAAUUUGAAACCUACAUUGCAUAAUUUAGAACUUAGAACUUACCUCAUCAUAGGUUUCAAGUUCUACCUAGGCUUUACUUGUCUUAUUUAUUGAACGAUUACAAUGAGUUAUCAUAUUUAAUAGUCACCACUUGCUAAUUUAGACGCACAAAGAAUAUGUAAUAUUAACAAAGUAAAAGUCUUGAUCAUAAAAAAUAGAAGUUUAGACUAGUGGUUUCUGUGACAUCCCCCCUUCUCCCCGUCUCUUUUGUCCUCUUCCUCUCUCUCUCUCCUCUUUCUCCUCUUCUCCCCCCCCCCCCCACAUGAUUUCUCCCCCUUUUCUGCCAUCCAUCCCCGCUUCCCCUCUCUCUCUUCUCUCUUUUCCCCCUCACGUCACCUCCUGCUCCCUCUCUUUUUCUUUUUUGUCUUCUCUCUCUCUCUCUCUCUGCCGAACCUCCUCCUCCUCCUUAAGGGUGUGCAACCGGACCGGCCCACCCAAAAAACAUGAUUGGGAAUUGGUUCUUGUUGAAAUCGGUCCGGGAACCGGUUCCCAAAAUUUGGAACCGAUUUAAACUAGUAUGGGAACCGGUUUCAAGUGAUUACCUACCUAGAAACCGGUUCCCGGACCAGUUUUGGAACUGAUUUGGGAACUGAUUUUGUAAGUAGAGGUCCAAAACCCUACUUUUUUCUCUGAUUUUUAUUUUUACUCCUGCAAUCACACGGUAUUUUUCCUCGUAGCUCUCUCAAACAUGCAUGACACUCCUCCUUCAUUGUUCCUCUUCCUCACUCGCAUCCCUCCCUCAUCGACUCCCUCUUGCACCAUCCGACAAACAGACGGCAUUUGUUGCCGCCAAAUUCUUGUAUAUCACGUGGAUUGGCUUGCCUAAUUUCUCUUUUGUAAAAGGAGUUAUGCUUACAUAAAUUAACAGCUUCAUGUGAUAGUUAUGGGAAUAAGAAUAACAUUAGACCCAUAUUUGUUGCUAAUAUUUAUGAAUGUUAUGAUUUUUGUUUUGCCUUAUGAUUUUAUUUAUGAUAAUUAGCCUUGUGGAUCCUUAAUUUUUUGUUUAGUCAAAAAGUUCAUGUAUUUAUUUAUUACAAGUGUUUAAUAUUUCAAUAAAAUUAGGAGGAUUACGUUAUUUUCUCGCGUAUUAAUGUAAAAUUUGAAGUCGGAUAGGAUAUUAGGAGGUUGCGAAAUAGGCUCUAGUAGAAAUAUAGUUGAUUGUGGAACCGGAAUGAAAAAAUAAUGUGGAUUGGAUACAUGGUCCAUAUAAAUAGGGUCGGGUACAUGGUCCAAAAAUGGGGAAUCGGUUAUAACAUGGUUGGGUAUAGGAUCUAGGUCUAGACCCUACCCACCUUGGAUUUGAUCACCCCUACUCCCCCUCCUCCUCCUCCUCUUCUUCUUCUUCUUCUUCUUCUUACUAGUUGUCGCUUCACCCACCACCACGCCACCUCCGUCCGCUACUUGGAGUCAUACUAUUCGCUAUCCUCACCGCCAUCUUCACCACCGAGCUCCCAAAUUGCCAUUGUUCGCUUGACGCCGCCGCUUGCUCGUCACUGCAAGCCACCACUUGCAUCCCUCAUGCCAUUUACUGUGCCAUUGCCGCCAUCCACAAGCCACCCGCUCGUCGCCGCGAGCCACCCCCAAGCUAAGCAUUCACCCCCCCCCCCCCCCCCAGGCCGUGAGCUUCAAGAGCUAUGUCUCAGCAAGCUCUAUCCCACUAAGACUCGAUUAGGAAAUCAAUACACCACAUGAUUGCCUAAGCACAACACAAAUUACAAGACUUACCUUGGCAUCAAUCCCAACCUGUAAUUCAGGGUUAUAUAUAGAUGCUUCAUAUAUGUAUUGCGUCAAACAAUCAAUCAAUUCACGACAUUCGAAUCAAUCAUUGAUCAAUCGACUUAGUUAAUUAUAUGUCAGUCGGACCAUUUCUAGGUCAUUUCCAAUCACAAAAUGACACGUACUCUCUUGGGCAUCUUUUUCGCCAAUGUGAUGUAUGUAAUGAAUAGCACUCAUGCGUUCUUUAAGGCGCCGUUUUCACUAGUAAUAUCCUUAAUCAUUGAAUCACGUAUGUCCAUAAUGAUGCAUGCGAUAGAUGGCACUCGUGCAUUUUUUAAGCGCCGUUUUCACCAAUGAUUUCCUUAUCACCGAACCACGUAUGUUUAUAUUGAUGCAGGUAAUAGACAUCACUCAUGCGUUCUUUAAGGCGCCGAUUUCACCCGUGAUGUCUUUAUCACCGAACCACGUAUGUCUAUACUUCAUACCUGAUCGGUCUCAGCCAAGAAUAUUUCCAAUUCACUCUUACGAUUCUCACCACUUUACAACUCAUCAAGCAUUGUAAAUGCUAAAUAACCAUACUCGACCAUCUACCAAUCAAUCAUUCAAUUCCACUCAAUUUAAAUCAAUUUAAGAAUAAUUCCUCAAAUAUCACAAUUAAUUCAAUUCCAUGUAACGUAGAGCUCAAAUAAAUAAACGGAUUGCACCACAAUAAUUAGCACGAAAUUUCGGUUGUCAGCUAUCCUUGCCUAAUUUCCGAAAAAUAAAUAAAUAAAUUUCGAAAAUUAAUAAAUAAAUAUUAAAAAUCCAAUUUAGGCCCGUAAUGCCUAAUUGAAGCCUGAUAAGGGUCGGGAAAAAUCCCAAUAUACAUUCAAUAAAUAGUAUAAGCUAUCAUCGAGCUAAUUACACCAACUACCUAACUAAUAUGCAAUGCAAUUAACUAAUAAUCACUAAUCCAUUCUAAUCUAACCACCUAAUCCUGUUUAAUUAACACUAAUCAACCAUUAAGCAUAAUUAGUCUACUAAGUAAGGAUUAGUGAGGUUACUCAUCGGAAUUACGCGCAGGUCGGAUGUAACCGACGAGAACGACACGAGGAUCAUUUCUUCCUAAAGCGGGCCUCGGGUUUGGGGCCUGAAACACCUCGAAAUGGCCCUUGAACAGAGCUGGAAACCCAUUCUGAAACUUGCUGAUGAAGCUACAAAACAGAGGAGAAAUGAGAUGGUUGGGGGCGGCAAAGGGUCGGGAAAGCAGGCGGUAGCUCGAUGAGGCUGAGCGAUGGUCCAUAGCGGCUGGAGGUGGUCAAAUGGCAGCUGGACAGCUCCCACACAAGCCAGAGGAGCUGCUAAGCGUAGGGUCGGGUGGCGUGAGGCACUAGGUCGAGCGGUAAUGUGUGGGCUAGGCGGCGGCAGCGAUCUGGCGCGACAGUGACGGCAGCUCCGGUUCUAGGCGACAAUGGCUGCUGCUUCCGCUUCUGUUGGCCUGUACACACGAACAAGGGAGAGAGAGAGAGAGAGAGAGAGAGAGAUUGCCAGCCAAGGGGGUGAGAGGGAGAGAAAAGAGAUAGUGUGACGGCCCAAGCGACAAUGCACGGGAAAGAGGGAUGGCGGUGCAUCCACGCCUCGGUCCCCAGACAUGCGCAAAGAAGGAGUCCCUCUCUUGUCCCACAUCACCUAGGGAGGGAGUCCUAGGUUAUCUUAUAAGGCUAUGGGUCCCUCUAACUAUACAUACAUGUUUUCUUGGGGUAGUAUAGGCUGCCCUGAGAGAAAAAAAAUCAUGAGGACUUAGUAUCCAAAGCAGACAAUAUGUAUACAGUGGAAACCCGGGAUGUUACAAGUGGUAUUAGAGCUGACUCUUGACCGCGUGUGGGGCCAUAGCGAGGACGUUGUUCUGUUAAGGGGUGGAGAGUGUGACAGCCCAAGCGACGGUGCGUGGGGAAGAGGGAUGGCGGCCAUAGCUAGGACGUUGUUCUGUUAAGGGGUGGAGAGUGUGACAGCCCAAGCGACGAUGCGUGGGGAAGAGGGAUGGCGGUGCGUCCGCACCUUGGUCCCUAGACGUGCAUAAAGAAAGAGUCCAUCUCUUGUGCCACAUCGCCUAAGGAGGGAGUCGUGGGCUAUCUUAUAAGAUCAUGGGUCCCUCUAACUGUAAAUACGCGUUUUCUUGGGGUAGUAUGGGUUACCCCGAGAGGAAUAAAAUCAUGAGGACUUAAUGUCUAAAGCAGACAAUACGUGUAUAAUGGAGACUUGGGAUGUUACGGAUAGAGAUGAGUGAGAUAGGGGCUCCACUUUGUCCAUUUUUUUCCACCCUUGCUCCUUAAGUUUCUACCUAAGCCAAGUAUUAUCCCUUGGCCUUCCUUUGGCCACACCAACACCCCAAAUAACUUUUCCAAUGGUCCCAAAUUGACUAGGGUAUGGGGGAUUACGAAUUUUGAAGAAUAAAGCUCAAAUUGGAAUUAAUUCCCUCUUGAUUCUCUCUCAAUCAGCUCUCAUAAAGUUAAUUGAUGUCCCAUUUAUCAAAUCGAUAAUUUUCCUCAUCCAAAAAUUCCUCGUACUUCUCAAUUUUGCAACCAAAAUUAAACCCCGGCUUCAACUGAACAAAAAUGGCUAUAAACUGACUUUUUUCCAAAAAGUCUCAGCUGUCAAAAAAAUCUUUUGAGACUGAGUUGUGAGUCCUAAAAUUUAUUAUGACAUGACAGAAUCUUUAAUUUUUGAAAUCAGACUUGAAUCGGUAGUUAAUUUCCAUUUGGCGCGUUUUUAGCGUGACUUAGAUUACCAGGUACUUUUCAGAACUUUUUGGGGCAAAUGACCCGUGGUCAAUUUUUUUCAAAUCAUUAUGAACCCACUCAACUCAAUGGAAAUUCUUGAUUGUCAUGGAAUUCGUGUUUUUAACCACUUGGCUUGAUCCGUAAUGAGCAAACUUAGUCGAGGAAGAUGAUGCAUACCGACAAAUGUCCUUGUUCGAGGACAAGGGCCUGGAAAAUAGAGACGGUGGCCUUUGGAAAGAUCAAAUUACAAGAAGCCAGAGCCUUAUUGGCCUGUGCCGAGAAAACAAUGAAUUCAACUUCAGGAACUGCUUGUCUGAUGAACAUUCUUCGGAUAGCAUUUCGUGAAAGGAAGACUAUACAGACAAGGGAAGCCUUAAAUGUUUGGCUUACUAAUUAUGUGCAUAUACAAGGUUUCAGCCCCGAAGCACUAGUCAUAUGAUGUUGUUUGGGCUUGUGGUGGGCUUGACCCUUGUGAACCACCAUCUUUGAACACCUCUAGUCCAAGUUGAUUUGAGAUAUGAUGACCCAAGGACAAUGCAAUGAACAGUUACAAAGCCUAUUUGUGUUGAACAAAAGACCAUCCUGCAACUUUGUUUUGAAAAAUUUCUAUUUGGGUACUUUUUGGUGUGGACUAGAGCAUGCAGAUUGCUGGGCCAAAUCAUCCCCAAAGUCCAAAGAACACCCAAUCAAGUAGAGUUUCAUAGCGAAGUCUUGUCCAAAUCUGAGCCCCAGUCAACCCUUUUUUUCCGAUCCGAAGCUUCUCGCCACAAGAACAAAGAUCCCUUCAGAUUCUUGUAUCUUCAUUUGUGCCAACUACCCCCAUUAAGAAUCUCUCCAAUUUGCAUGCAGAUGGAAAAGGACUUCUGCGGACGACAUAUAAUCAGGCGUGCUUAUAGCAAGCAGGUGUUAGGUAAUGGAAAAAGGCACGUUCUCUUGCUCGUAGCCCCUCUCUCCUCCAACCCAGAAGUGGCCCCUGUUUUGACAUGAGGUCGCACCAACAACCCAUGUGAAGUUGAUACACAACAACCUCGGUCUGGUCCUGCUGUUUUUCACCUACUUCCAUCAUACCACAAUUGCUUCCUCAGCCACCAACCGUGCCCUUGCUUGCUAAGGUUGAUCAAGCUGCCAUUGCCAUUUUUUCAUCUACUCACGACUUUGUCGUACAUGAUCAAAUCCUGGUUUCCGAUCGUAUCCACUUGGACCAUUCGGGGACCGCUACCACGAUUCGUGCUAGGAUCACAACUUAGCUCCUCGGAUCCUCCUUUGUCAACCUUCGCUCUUGUCAAUUGAAGAGAUCAGCGGGCUCAUAAAAUCCACGCGAGUCGUAAUUCUCAGGCGUCACGAGUUAUAGCACGAAAGGCAACAUAAUAAAUUAAAGGUGAACUUUUGCAUUCCUUAAAGGUGAGAGUUAUCAUUGGGCAUGUAGUUCAUACAAGCACAGUGAAAAUGAAACCAUGUGAAUCUCAUGCUGAGGGUUCAUUUCAUUAAUAAAAAAAAUAACAAAUGAUGGUUUUGGGUUCUUUCCAAAAUGACUUUAAAAUGCUGAUGCCGAUGCUGAUGCAGCAACCUCCACUACAAGAUUCAGCUAGUCGCGAGUCCUUUCUUGCAAAUGAUUUUGCCUUUUGAAAGGCACUACAAAAUUGUUGGGCCUCUGUCAAUGUGGUUUCAAGGAAGCAUCGCUCAACAGUUAAAGAAUCGAGUUCACACACGCAACACGGCUUUUGCUAGAUUUUCCCUCGCUUUUCGUCACCUCAACUGGAUCAGGUCAGAUCAGAUCCGUAGAGAAAAUUGGAAAAGAGAACUUGCUUUGGAAUGUCUCGAUCAACUUAGUGAUGCCUGUAACGUCACAAAAACACCAAACGGCCCUUUUUUUUUAUUUACAUGCUCUCUUUGUUUUCUUUAUUGCAAUUAUAUGGGAAGUUAUAAUAGCAAAAGUUUGGUUUUGACUAACAAUGACUGGACGGCCCUCAAGUGGAAAGGGAACUGAAGCUUCAUGGAAACAUGCUGCGAUGGGAAAGCAAGUAAUCAAGAUCGGGUUUUUGGGGUUGGUGGGGGUGGGAAUCAUCAUCUCGGGGCAAGGUCGUUUCUCUUUGAUAGAGGCCAAUAAGAAAGAACCCUAAUUUAUUGCUGAGAUAAACUAGCAAGUCAUAUCUCCACACCCGAUCAUGUGCCAAACUGCACAGAUGUGCAUAUCAUCAACUACCACCGAGCAACACUAAAUAUGCACAUUGGGGGUUGCACACUACCACCUAAACCUGCUCUAGAAGAUUAGCUACACAUAUGCAAUCAGAUUGCUUACUUUGGAUCAUUAGAAACUCGAUUUUAUAUUGGUAUUGACAACGGUUACAUGAACUUUUCACGAAAAUUAUCGAGAGUAUGCAACAUAUGUGCUUCACCUUACGCCAACAACUCACACGUGUAUCUCAAGACUCUUCUCCUCACGUGUGAGCUUAAUAUUAGGUUUGUUCCCCCUCUCUAUCACAACUCACUUGUGCAAUCUCAACAAUCUCUCCUUCACAUGUGAGCCUCUCCCAACCUUUCAGACCUAGCCAUGAGGGCUACGUGAAUGCUACCAUCAGGGUCCCUUCAUGUGUGAGCCUCCUCCCACCUUUCAGACCUAGCCAUGAAGGCUGCCAUGGGAUCACAUUGUUGUGCCACAUCACCCACCGCUCGAAAAUCAUGUUGAUUACCAAAUUCAUUCUUAGAGAUAUUCACAAAAUAUCGAAAUGCGUAGCAAAAGCCUGAUACUAUGAAAGCUCAAGUCUGAAUCCUAUCAAUAUAUUCACUCAAAAACUUAAUAAGUUAUGAGGCCAACUUGAAUAUAUUAGCUACCCCAUACUACACUCUAAUAUGGGAUAUCUCUAUCGCUAUCCACGCAUGGAUCUCAACAAUAAAAAUAAUGAGUGGGAAGCUUCAUAGGUAAAUUACAAAAAGUCUGAAAUGCUUUUGAGUGCGCAUUGAGUAGGGUGGGACUAUCUUGCCAAGCAGCAUCGCCAAGGAUUCAGACCUUUUUCUCAAGAUCGCGAAUCACGAGCCGCGAGACUUUUUGACCACUACGGCGGACCGUGCUUAGCAUUAUUGGUGGUCAAGCCCGUCAACCCCUUUUUUUAAUGAAAGAGCAUUAGCCGACUCUGCAGAAUCAAUUGCUUGAGACAAAACGUGCUCAUUGGUCGCUCGAGUGAUGCAAUGAAGUGACGUUCCGACCCAGCUUUUGCUGAUUAUUAUGUUUGGAUGUCUCCGGUACAUGCGGAACACGAGCGAACACGCAUGCACGAGAUCACUGAGAUGCACCUUUUGAUCGAGAGAAGAUUAUUGGAGGGCUUUGCAUCCAACGAGUACUCUGCCUUUGAGUGCUUCAUAUUGAUUUUGACAAGACGAACACUAGAUGUAUUGACAUAUUUUCUCGAAGUUUGUGAACCUUGAAAAAGACAGCAGAGAAAAGGGUCUACAUCGUCAUAAUAAUGUAUCCAAUGACCUCUUGCUUUUUUUGCCAAUUCGAUUUACGCCCCGUAGCUUGAUGAACAUACGAUCCAUUCUCAUUCAUGCGAACAGGAUUUGUCAGCUCAACGGAAUUAAAUGAAUUGCUAAGGUCACAUUCCUCUUGUUAACACUUAAAAUUAACCAUAUUAUCACAUGCCAAUUAUAUGGGUAAAUGUCACUUCAGGACCUAAUGGAAUUAUAAAUAGGGUUAAUACCCUGAAAAACCCCAAACCGGUACAUCUGUGACAAUUUUACCCCAAACUAUUUUUUUUACCAUAAAAAACUCCAAACUGGUACACCUGUGAUAAAUUUACCCUGACUGACCAUAAAAAACCAUAAAUUUGUACAUUUAUGACAAAUUUACCCUAAACUAAUUUAUUUGACCGCAAAAAACCUUAAAUUGAUAAAUUUGUAACAAAUAUACCCUCCGCUAAAGUGGAUUAAUAUCACAAAAAAAAUCACAAAAAUUGUAAAUUAUGACAAAUGGAGCGUAAAAUCCAAAUUGGUAUAUCAAUCAACUGUUACGUGUCAUUUAACUUAAUUUUUUAACGGUAAAAUUUAACAAAAACUAACCAAGGGUAAAUUUGUCACAAGUGUACCAGUUUGGUGUAAAUUUGUCAAAGAUAUACCAGUUUAUGGUUUUUUGUAGUCAAAAAAAUAGUUUUGAGUAAAUUUGUCACAGGUGUACCAGUUUGGGGUUUUUCAGGGUAUUAACCCUUAUAAAUAUGUCAUGUGAAUAUUGGUGUACUAUUGGCUGUUGAUAGGUGUACUGAAGGAAAUUGGCAAUCGACGAUGAAGGAACCAUGUGUCCAACGAUCAUGAUGUAAUUUUUGGAGUAGUUCUGGUGGUAAACUUCAAAAGUAAAGCUUUUGAAAACAUUAAGAAAGGAACCAAAAUAGUGAGCAAAAGGAAGGUGGCUAGUGAUAAAAGACCUAGCCAAGGGAGUUAUUAACAUAUAAAGACACAAUUGAAGCAGUUACAGAAUGGAUUGGCUAAAGAAUAGGGAAUGUGCUGAGAGCCAUGUUAUAAUUAUGGUUAUGAUUAUGGUUAAUGGAUCAACGAAUGCCAAUAAAUUAAGAUACGUCUUUUCUAUUCACGUAUCUCUUUUUGGAUUCAUGAAUUCCUUAAACUUUUCUGUUCACGUAUCUAUUGAAUUCAUGAAUUUCCUAGAUCCAUGUAUCUUUUAAUUUAUGUAUUUAUUGAGUUCACGAAUCUCUUGAAUUCACGUAUCUCUAGAUUCGUGAAUCUCUUGAAUUCAUGUAUCUCUUGAUUCAUGAAUUUCGUGGAUACAUGCGUCUAUUUAAUUCAUGUAUCUCUUCUGUACAUGAACUAAAAAUCUCUAUAAAUAGAUGGGAGCAUAGAGCUUCGUGAUGGUUUUUUGGUUUUUCCGACUCGAUUCCAAAAAGGCUUUGAUACACUUUUCUACUCUUCUGAAUUUUCUGAGUGUGCUGGUUCAAUUGAACGGUUCGACUGAGUCCUGUUUGCAUAGUGCUAAUCCAAACAGGUUGCGGAGCACCAUUGGCGGGAACUAAUUGUCUUAAAGAGAUUCGGAUAUCCGUACCUCACCUCCAAUUUCAUAUUCUGAUUGCAACAAACAGUUUGUGUUUUCUUUUGGAUUAUUUUCCAACAAGCCAAAGGCGGCAAUUCAAAUUGAUAACCACUCGACAAUUAUGGGGCAUCCCUAUAAAUACAUUGAGUCCUUUAGCGACAAGCCCCCAAACAACACAUCAAAAUCAUUUUAUCUUAUCAUUUAGUUAUCUUAGCCUAGCCUAGUUUAGUUGUAGUUUUAGAUUGCUGUCGUUAAUUCAAUUUUGAUGAGUGUCAAUAUCUCAGGCAGUGCUAUUGAUUAGAUUUGAAUGCUAUCUUACUAUUCGGUGUUGUCAAUUAGAUUCUAAAAUUGUAUCCUUGUACCCUUUUAAGUGCGGUGCCUCCCUAGUGUUGCUUUUACCAUCAAGUUUCAUCGAUUAGAUUUCAAAGUUGUGUCCUUGUACCCAUCUAGAAGUAGUACCUCCUCGAUGUUAUUUCUACCAUCCAGCAUCGUCAAUUAGAUCCCAACAUUGUGCCCACAUAUCCAUCUAAAAGCAGUGCCUCCCCGGCAUUGUUUUUACUAUCCAACGUCGUCGAUUAAAUUCCAAUGUUAUGUCCUCGUACCCAUCUAAGAGUAGUGCCUCUUCGGUGUUGUUUCUAUUGCCAACGUCUCAAUUAAAAUCCGACGUUAUUUCCUCAUACCCAUCUAAGAAUAGUGCUUUCUCGAUAUUGUUUCUAUCAUCUAGCGUCGUCAAUUAAAUCCCGACGUUGUAUCACCCACUUGAUCUUAGUUGAUUCUCAUUAGCGUACUAAAGUGUAUUUGAACUCAGCUGUUAAUUAGGUUUUGGCACUUGUUAUCGUUAGUUCCAAAUUUGUAUUGAAUGAUGUCGUUGGAUUCAAAACUAUAUAUAUAAUUACAUUUGACCAUCUUUGUUCAAAACUAGUACAUAACCUAAGUCCCCUCAAAACAAAAAACCAAAAAUAAUAUUUGGUAAAGAUAUUUUGUCUCGGGAUUCAAAACCGUUGAAACACCUCUCUACAUUUUUAGUAAGAAAGUUUGUAAAAUAAUGUAAAUUUAUUAGAUACCUUUAUUUUGGGAGAUCACUAAAAGGAAACCCAAGUCCAAAUUUGUUAACAUUUCUAGUUAGACCCAUGUUCACUCAAAAACUUAUUAAAAAAAAAAAACAAUUGAUUCUGCAUCAACUAUGAUAUAUUAGCAAUUGUAGAUUACACCAUAUCUUUGAUGGCAAAACUUCUUCAACAAAAGUUUACACAUGCAUUUAAAUGAUCUCCCUCUCAUGUUGAGCUCCAAUGUUAUAGGCAAGGUCCCCUAAUCAGAUACCUUCUACAUCAAUGUAAUUUUUGAAUCUCCAUCUUAUUGCAACAACCAAACCGCCCCCCUUCAUCAUCGGUCCCUUUCAUUAGACCAAACCAUUAAGGCCCUCCUCAACACCAUUUUACCAUACCACAACACACCCCUUCACCAUUAAUCUCUUCUACCAUUUCGAAGGCUCUCUGAAAAAAUACAUACUCAGGAGAUUCUUUUCUUGAGAUGUUGAUCGAACACCGAUCCAUAUUGGGAGCCAAGGAAUCAACCAUAAAUUCUAGUAUCAUUUUUUAGGAAGGAUGAUAGAAGCCUCACUCCUUCAAUGAAAAGUACCAAAAAAUUUAUAAACCAAUUGUAUUUGAACUAAUUUAGUUAUAAACCCUUCAAUUGAGCCAAUUUAAUCCUAAAUGUUUUCAAAUUGAUACCGAUUUAAUCCAUCCAGGCAAUUUAAAUUAGAAAUUACUAACAUAGACGCUGGUCAUGCAACGUAAGAUGGCAGGCAUGUGGCACGGCUGACGUUAACAUAAACAUUUUUAAUAAUAUUUUGAAUCAUUUUUUUAUUUUUUUAUUUUUUUUUCCUUUCUUUCCCUUUUCCUUUUGUCGAUGGCCAAGCCACACUUCGACGAGGGCAAGGGCGAUGGCAAGCACCAACAAGGUCCUCCUCAAGAACAACCCUUGCCUAAGCAUGGCCCGAUGAGCAAGGGCGAUGGCGAGCACCAACAAGGCCCUCCUCAAGAACAACCCUUGCCUAAGCAUGGCCCGAUGAGGCCAACCCUCGCCUGCCGCCAAUGGUCGAUAACCGGCCAUGGGCAAAAAGAAAAGGUCGGCCACAAGCAAAAAGAAAAGUGAAGCAAAUAAAAGAAAAUAUAUACAAAAAUUUAAAAAUGUCCACGUCGACACUAGUCGUGCAACAUAAGAUAAUCAGUGGCUAGGUUAGCAAUUUAUAGCCUAAAUUGGUUAAAUGGACUAAAUUGGUAUAAAUUGGAAAAUAUUUAAAACUAAAUAAGCAUAAUCGAAAGGUUUAUAAUCGAAUUAGUACUAAUAUAAUUGAUUUAUACUUUUUUUAGUACUUUUUGCAUAUUUAGUUUUCAUCUAUAUUCACUCAAAAGUUUAAGUGAAUGAAGUAUUAAUUACUUUACAUUUCGUUAUAUUUCCAAUUUGAUUCUCUUUCGAGAUAACCCGUGCAUACAUUUCAAUUGUUAAAUUUCUCCCCUUUAUUUUUUUUUUGGCAACCCUAGUUUCUUUCGGAAAGGACAACCUCUUUUUUUCUUUGCCCCUUUUUCCUGAUCGGAGAAUCUAGAUGCCAAUGAUUGAGGGGCAUGUGCCUGGUGACACCUCUCUCUUCAAGAAAGGUACACACAUAAGGCUUUUAUCCUGCAGAUGGUCUGUCUACACUCAGCUACUGUUUGGGGGUGUCAUACAAUUUGCAUACUUUCCUUGAUUGAAAGAUUUCAGAGAAGAGAAGAGAAGAGAAGAGAAUAGAAUAGAAGAGAAGAGUGAUUUACAAAAGCACCUUUUGGCUAAUUUAAGUGAAAGGAAAAUAGAAAAAAAUAUCAGGAACUCCCUUCGGAAUUCCCACAAACGAAUCCACAUCUAAUUCUUAUGUUUUAAUUAAUCUCGAGAAAAGCUCAUGGCGGCUUUAUGAACUCAACUCGAAACCGCUCCAAGUGGCCAAACUCAUGUAGGUCUACCAACCCACAACUUUUAUUGUGCUUGACUUUAGUUUAUAGUUGCCAAUUUAUUUAAUUGGACAAACUCAUUAUAAAAAAUAAUCUUUAUUUCCACAAAUGUGACAUGUUGAUGCAUGAGAGUGGACUGGCUCUUUGAGUGCCUGGGCAUGCGUCUGGCCUGGACUUGACCUUUAGAAUCUUCGAAGGAGCAAAUUAUGGCAAAGCACAUGCCAAGGGAUGGCCUCCUCCACCAAUCAAACGGCCAAUCCCUCCUUUUCUUUAUUUCAAUCUUGACCAAUUGUCUCCACCUCCAUUUAAAAAGAAAAAAUGACAAAGGAAAAAAAAAUGCCAACUUGCCAUUAUGUGUCUCACUAAUCGAUUAAUGGAUUUCUUUUUGGGUUACGUGAAUAAUUCGUAUAAAAUGUUGAUAUACACUGAUUAUCUUAAUUACAUGGGACACAUGCAUUUAAAAUUGAAAAUUGCAAUUCCAAUAUAUAAGUUAUGGAAUAUAUGCUAAGAAUCUUUCGCAAAACAAAUGAUUUUCUCAAUGAUGUGAUAAUUUUUCGUUGAAAUAUUCAAAAAUUUCACCCAUUCAUUGUGUAUCUCACUUGCUUUAACAUCAAGUUGAAGCUCGUCACGUAGUCAUCAAUUCGUUGUCAACUUUUUAGUAUAUACAUUUUUGUCAUACAUUGAUUUUUAUACAGAUUCAAUGGGAUGGGAUGCGUAAUGAAAUUCUAAAUUAUAAUGCCAAUUUUGUAGUUUUUUUUUUCUUAUUUUAUAUUUCAAUUUGGCAUAGUCGAGGAUCCAUUUUUGCCGACCUUGGCUCCACAUGAAUGAGCUGCCGCAAAGACCCCGCCGCACGUCCGUCGCAUCAUGACGUGCAGAGCUCAGACAUACACGUUUAUUUAUAAUUUGAUAUAUGCGAUUCUCUUGUUUCCAAAAAGGAACAAAAUAUAAAAACAAAAAGUCUAUUUUUUUAUUUAUUAUAUUUAUUUUACUGACGCGAUUCAUAUUAAUAUUCGGUCAACCUGCUUCAAGAAGCCGCAUCCAUGUUGGCCACUCUUUCUCUCUGCGUCGAUUUUCAUGGCGUCACGCACGAAAACAAAAGCACUUAGACUGCGUGCGUCGGAUCUCAUCUUUAACCAAAAUCAAGCUGCUCAAGGAAAAAAAAAUAUUAAAAAUCAUCAUGACUUUUUAAGCUCAUACCAAUUUGCACAUUAAAUUUCAAUAAAAACCCAAGUUGCAUCUAAAAGAAUUUUAUUUACAAACUUUCAUUUCAAUUUUGCUACUCUUGCCAUUUCAAAUUCACCCACAAUGAAUAAUUGCUCUAAAACGUAACACCUCGACCCACUUAUUGCUCAGCCCCCACCCUCCUACCGCCGCCGCGGCCUCAACCCAGUUGAGCCACGACCAUCGAGGAUGACUUGAUGCCAAAGAAGAUCUAGUCGACCUUGACCAAGACCCCCGUCUAGCUCGACAUUGGCCAUGGCAAAAGAAGAGGGAGACGUAGUGUAGAUAGAUGGACGAAGGGCUAAAGCCAACGUAGCGUCUGGUUAGAAUCGGUGAUGGGAGUUGCCACGGAGAUCGAAGGUAGGGGUGAGAGAAUACGACAAGAGAGAAAGAGAAAAAAAGGGGAAUAGUUAAAAAUCCAGACAAGUUUAAGGAUAAAUUAGAUCUUUACUAGAUCUAAAUCUAAAAAAUUAAUUGAAAUGUUCAGUUGGAUUCUACUCGGGAAAUAACUAAAGGCAAUGCACGCCUAGGAAAAAAAAUAUAUUGUUGUGAUAAUAAAUUAUAUAAAAUAUAAUAGAAAAAGAUCCGAGCCAUUUGAGAAUGAUCUUGUGCAACGACCUUUAGGCUUUAACCCACAUCAUUCCAAACCCCACAGAUUUCCCACUUGCACAUAUCACUAAAAAAUAAAUAAUAAAAAAUGAAUAACGACGACGAGGACAAAAACACAACAAUUAAAUGCGAUUCGCUGUAAGCACGAGAGAUCCACCAUCGAACGAGGCAAUCCAACGGCGCAAAACGCGACAGAGAAUCGCAUCGAUUUUUUUAUUGGGAAAGAUUAAAAAGGAAAAAGGCAAAUUAAUAAAUGGCCGCGCUUAUUAGGCGCGCAUGAAUCCUCGAGCCCUGUACGGCAUAAGAAAUGUGGAGAGAUUCCCGCUAGAAAAAGCUCCGAGUCGACAAUGUCUUCUUUUAUAAGAGACUCUGAUUUUCAUUGAUCAAGUGGUCGUAGAUUUUUUUUCUUUUUGGUUGGAAAAGUGGUCCUAGAUUUCGAUCUUUGGUCACCGGACGGCGGUCUCUCGUGCGACCCGGUCGAGAAAAACCUGCCUCGAUAAGGAGUAAAUGAGUCAUAAGUCAAAACCUCGAAAUACGAAGGUUACUUGCAUUUGAUGCCGUCAAGAAUUGAAUGUUUUCACGAUAUGUUGGGGGUCUGAAGAGCUAAACUGUCCGACCAUCGCUGGUCGACGGGCCCGGGGUUCUUCUGCUCGGGCUUUUCUAGCAUGGGAUCGGAGUCGGGUGUCGCUCUCCCGUUCAUCAAAUUCCGCGCCAUCUUUCUGCUGCGGUUUGUGCAUGAGCACGCUGUUUCGUCUACCAAGUAAUUUAAGUAAUCAGGACUAACCAUUCCAAUAUGUCAAGCCGGAUUUCUUUUUGGGAAUAUCGAGAAGAGAGGUAGGCGCAUGGUGAAACGAGCUAAUUGAGUGUAUUGAAGUUCGCUCCCACUGAAUUCUCACUGUUGACUCCACGUGUGUGGCAACGGGAGCAUGUGCCCUUCCACGUCAUUUGCGCCAAAACAGCCAAGCUUGGUGUUGAAUAAACUAUUUCUUUCAGUCGUCGGUUGAUUGAUUGAUUAGGAGAUGGUGAUGGAUUCCAAAAAUAACAGGGGAGCAUGAUUUCAGGACAUAACUUGAAAUCGGAAAAUUGAAUCAGUGAAAACUUGUCCAAUUUUAGAUUUUAAGAUAUGUAAGGUAAAGUUCGAAUUUAAAAAAUUUAGAAACUUAUUUCGAUCAGUGAAUUCCGAAUUCUAGAUAGGUGAAACUUAUAAUGUGAAAAAUGUUUUCAUAUUUUUCUUAGUUUAUGUCUCUAUGCGAUUCUACAGUAUUUCAUGAGAUAAUUAUGAAUCGCUAGUUUGAGUUUCUAUUUUAUGACUUAGAUUUUUACUUUGUUAAUGUUCCACAUUAUUCAUGUGUCUAAAUAGAAUUUAUAGUCAGUGAAUUGUAAUAGUAUGUAAUUACAAUCGUUUAACAAAAUACUCUCUCUAUAUUUGGUUCGUAUGACUUAUAUCGCCGACAGCCAUAUAUAUUAUAUAUAAUAUAUAAUCAUGGAUGAAAUGAUAUAUACUUGCUUUUGCUUUAUCGAAUUUGUAGUGGUCUGGUCCAUCAAAUUUGAGCCAGAAGAAAUAUAUAUAUUGCUCCAACAAAUUUUUGUUCAUAAACAAAGAAGAGAAUGGGCUUCACGAAAGAUGAAGAUCCCCAGUCAAAGAUUCUUCUCUUCCCCAAUUAUUUCUCUCUCUUUUUUCUAAUUUAACCCCUUCCGACUGGCACAAAUUCAUUUCUAUUCUAAUAAAUCAAAUUGUAUUUAUGAUAUAUUCUUUUGUCGCUUGGUCCACCAUAGAUUAUCAGUCAGUUGAAAUUUCUGUACAUGCAUCUUCCCCCUUUUUUCUAUUUAUUUCUUUAUAAAAAAAUUUAUAUUUUUUAAUAGCCAAGUAGCUAGAUUUUUUCCGAAAAAUGUCAACGAGGCCAACCGAAAAAUAGGUAGGAUGUCAUCUUCGCCGAAAUAUACAUAAUGCACAAUAUCGACCAACCCGUGCGAAGGUGACGCGCUCAGGACGAAAUGCAUAUUCUUUUGUCAAUGUUAUGGAAUAAAAAAAACCCCAAAAAAGUCUACGACAAACAAAAAGAGAGGUAAAAAUACACAUUAGCGAGGAAAAUUCCGGGAAAAUAAGGAACCUGCAAAAAUUAUUCUAGUUUUUGAAAUUACGUGGCGUGUCGCCUCACCUUCAUAUAUAGGUUGAUUGGUUGUGGAAUAGAUAAAUAAAAAAAAACCAAGGAAAAAGGUGAAUUCCACUCUCUAAGAUUAGGACAAGAAAUCAUAAAGUAAUAACAUAAAUCAAUUGUGCCUUGUCGGCUAAGCAAAAGCGCCUUCAUCGAAUGUACUAUGGUUUCUCCACAAGCGUUGACUCGUUAGGCUCAUCAAUUUUUUAAAAAUUACAUAUCUUUCUUUUUACGCAAUCAAUUGGAGUUCAUAAUUUCAGGUGAAAUCCGACAAUAAAGUCAGAUCAUGCCUAGUAUAAUAAAAACUAUGCGAUUAACUUAGAAUCUACCUUAUUUAAUUUAAUUUAAAACGUACUGUGCCGAUCUAUAUUCGACGUAUAUGAUAACCAUAAUCAAGCUAGCUAGGUGAGCAAAUGUUAGUAGCGAGUGUUGAAAUGUUCAUAUGGGUCGUUGUGUUGAUUUGCCAAAAGAGAGCGAUGGGCUCAUGUUUGGGUGCGGUACUAGAUUAAUCUAUGUGUGAAGAAGUAGGAUUAAUUUUUCUACUCGAACACGCGAUAGGAUCCCUCACUCAUGAUCAAAGGAGAAAGCUUGUUAUUGAAAAAUGAGAGAGAUUCUGGGAUUGUCGCUAUAUAAGAACUUGAGGAAGCAUUUGGAUGUUCUUGCCUUUUAAGAAAAUGAGAUUCGGCAAAGAUGAUGAUGGGUCGAACAAUAUCGUUCGCGACAAUGAUGUUCCAUCCUUUAAUGGUGUCUUGACACUUUCCGAGGAGAUAAGCUGGUCUUGAUCGGAAUUUCCUUUACUUUUGGAAAUCCAAAGCUUAAUUUUAACGCCAUGAAAGUAUACUCAGAGAUAUCUCGCUCUUGAUAAGAUGCCUAACCAAAGAAUUGACACUCGAAGAGGCCAAAAUAUUGACAUCAAAUCACGUCUUCAUCUAGUAGUAUACUUAAAUCUUCUUUUUACCAAUCGACAAUGACUUUAUGACAUUUUUACAUGACAUCAAUGGAGUUCUCUGUUUACCUCCCAAGUCACUGUCGAUUUUUAUAUAUUAAUCUCAUUUGCGAUCAAUGUCGGAUAUCCAAAAAUAAGCAUUCAAACCAAUUGAUUGUCUAGGUUUCAUAAUUAGGAUGGAGUAUGUCGUACUCCUGAAAGUUAAGUGAAUUUAAUGGCGUUAUACCUUUUUCUAUAAGAAAAUUUCAACAGAUAUUCCGUCUUAUCACGUGUUAAUCAAAUCAAUUACGUUGGUCACGGUUCGAUCAAGUACUAUAGUCCCGGGCGAUGGAGAAGCGACACCGCCUAGCUUUAAUUAUAGUUAACGAGGGUCUCGGGGCAUCUUUAAAAAGAUCAUUUUUGACCAUAUUCUAUAUUCAAAGGCAUAAUUUGCCUGCCCAUUGACAAUUGGCGGGCUGGGGUAGGUGGCAGCUUGGACCCGAAAGGAACCUAACAAAAGUCGGAGCAACAUGUGGACUUCAAGAUAGAGCCUCGCUACCGUCCAAUUUCCAGCAGUCAUUUCAUGGUUUAAGAUAAAUAUCAUAUUCACUUCAUUUUAUAGAUUCUUUUAUUUUUCUUUUUUUCCUUUUACAUUUUGGGGCAGGACAGAUUCUUUUUCAUCAUAUUUUAUUACCAUGUUGUAAAUUAACCCAUUUAACAUGACUGUCACGUGGCUGCUCCCUGUUAUUGUUGGGUUGCCCUUUCAUGAUAUUAUUCAUUGAGAUAAAAUAAUGGAGGGAAAUAGGAGAGAAAGCUAGAAGAAAGUGGCCAACAAAACAGGGGGAUGGAAAUAAAAUAAGGAGUGGAAAUUCCAAGGAAAAAUCAUAUCGUAGUGUGAUUAAUUUGACUAUAAUGAUGGCUUGCCAUGAUGCUGUAUGCAGCAGUAAUGAGUACCAUCUGUUCCUUUUUCUACUUUAAAUAUAUAUUCCCCAAAAAUAAUAAUUACUAAAUCAAUCGUGAUCCUAUUUUACGAAUGUAAAUGAAAUCGAAUUGGGUCAAAAGCUUUUGCUGCCAAAACUCAAUGAAUUUCUUUCACCCAAUUUCUUUUCAAAAUUUCGACAUGGCACAUUUCAUCUAGGUUGCCGCAUCAGCAUUCUCUUGUGGCAAUUGGUUGGAAUGACUGUAUUGAUAUCUCAAAUUAUAUCCCCUCUAGGAUGUAAAAUAUAUCUCUUCUCACCAUCCCCAUAGUGUAUGAGACAAAUGGAUGCAUUUUAAUUAGGGUCGUAUUCUAUGCUUAUUUCACGCAUAAAUGUUUAAGACUAUAUUUACAAAAUUAAAAUAUUUAAGAAUAAAUUGAUAUAUGGGCAAUAAUUUUAUGAUCAAUUUGAUAAUUUUCCCUCAUUGAAAAUUUCACUACUACUAGUAUCAUCAUCAUUUGCUUCCAAUGUGGCUAUUUUUUUUAGAAGAUAAAACUUAAGAGGUAAUUAAGUCGCAAUAUCAUAUAUGAUAUUCCGGACGCUUUUCUUUCGCAAAAAAUGAAUGAUUCAAAAAAUAUUUUUUCAUAAAUGAUUGCUUUUAUAACUUAUAAAAAUGAGUGAAAUUAAAAUAUUCUCAUCACUCACGAAAAUGUUUGGACAUAAACUUUUAUUUAUAAUUUUUUUUAUCAACUUAUUAUUUCAAGUGACGCAAGUGGGCAUUUUUAGAAAAAUAUUUUUUAAAUUAUUUAUUUUUUGUUAAACAAACGGAGGCUCCAUGAUGCGAAAUUUUAUUUUUUCUUGAACCUACUCUUCUCGAUCUCAAUAUUUGGUUUGAAUUAGGACCAUCAAGCGUGGCAUCUGCGAACUUAUAUGCGUAGCGAGGAGGGUGACCAAGCCGACUCAUCGUUUUUGACAUCUUUUAGACACGCGAAGUCACCGGAAUCUUUGGUCCAUGCGCGCCGACGCCACAGACAAGAAACGUACGAAGCAACUUGGUCGUUCCCGAACAGAAGAAAAUUGUUGCGGUCAUUAGCCAAAAACGGGGUGUCGUCCGGUCUAUGGUCUAGCUCGUUCUCUGGCUCUACCUGUCUGGGGACCACUUACUAUGUUUUCACUACUGCUCUUAUUUAUAUGCUCUUUUUUUUAAUGAAAAAAAACUCAGUACAUUUAUGAUUAAUAUUUCCAAAACAAAUAUUUUAACCAUAAAAAACUUCAAACUGAUACACUUGUAAUAAUUUUAUCAUUAAAUUGCUAAAUUGGAUAACGUGCGACAGUUAAUGAGUAUACUAAUUUGAGAUUUUACACCCAAUUUGUUUCAGAUGUAUUAGUGAUAUUAAUUAUAAUUUAACUGAAACUAAUUGAGGAUAAAUUUAUUACAAAUAUACUUGUUUCGAGUUUUUUGUGGUAAAAAAAUUAAUUUGCGUAAAUUUGUCACAUGUGUAUUAAUUUACGAUAAUUUUUUGUUAAAAAAUUAAUUUGAAAUAAGUUUAUCGCAAGUUUAUCAAUUUAAGAUUUUUCGUAAUCUUAACCUUUUGGUUAUGUGUAAUCGAUGUCUUGGAAAUCAAAACAAUAGACAAACAACAAUACUCAUGGCAACAGUAGUGAUGCUAUUAUGCGAUAUGCCGUAUUUGAUUAACUUACCUUUCCGGUGCCAUUGCAAAAGAAAGUAAAAUUGCUAAAGAGAUAUGUGAUGUCGCGCGAGCAUGUCACCUAAUAUUAGCAUUUCGUGUCAGUCUUCGUCUUUGCUUCUGUGUUCAUAGCAUGUAUAUCUCAAUACGCAAGUCAUCGUGACACGGCCGUCGUACGAGUACUCUAGGCGUGCGUGUCUUCUUAUGCUCGCAUUUCGUUCGGUUGACAAGAAAACACCGAAAAAGUCGGUCGAAAUAGGGUUUGUCGGAAUGCUCGGACGGGGCUUGGCUAAUGAGUUCGUUUCGGGCAUUUGCCGAGUUACCAAAUGCGGGAAUGCGGCGAUGCCCGGUGCCUACUCUGGCGAUGCGCAGAAUUACUGCUUUUGAAAUUAAAAUUUUCUUUUUAUCAAUCAUGUUCAAUAGAUAUCUCCAGCGCACUACACUGGUAGGGCCCCGGGAAAAAAUAAUGUCACGUUGCGACUCGUUUCAUCGAGCGACACGAUGCCUUCCCGGGCUAAUUAUGAAAGUCAUUUUCCACCUUGAAUUAUUGCAAGGACAACCCACCACAAAGAAGGCAAAUUGACGAGACAUUGAUGCAAGAUUUUUUUUCUUGAUUUUGCUCCCCGAUGACUAGGAUGAAGAUUAGACGUGAGCUGGUCGAGUCAUCUAAUCUAUUUUCUUACUAGGAAAAAACUCAACGUGACACUUCCGUGUUUUUCUUUCGCAUUCAUGUAUACUUGGGGGACAAGGCUUGACUGGCCUAAAACGACAUCUUGCCAUGUCCGUUUAUAUAUGUCCGUUUAUAUAUCCAUCGAUGUCAUAUGAAAUGCGCGAGAUGAGACGAGUGGGUAUUUGAUUAAAAAAAGAUAGGCACAUGAAUCGACCCUUCACUCGAAAAUGGAUUUUUUUGGCUAUUAUUGUUCUGAGUUGAUUGCGUCACUAGAUCAAUUUUUUCUCUGUUUUCUACUUGAGAAAACAUUGCAUCCGACGUACUUUCGCUUUUAAGAAAUUCAAGCCGCUUGAAAUCUACAUAGGAAGUGUAUCUGCUUUUGACGUGGAAACUUGCGAUCAAUGGCCGUUUCUGUUGUCUGGCCUUGGGUCGGUCUCUGUCGCUGAGGAAGAAAGGAGAUAAGAGCUGAUGACUUGGACAAAAUCCAGUUUUGGAUUUGACAACGGCGUGAUAAAGAGGGAAGAAGAAGAUGCCAACACUUCUUUUUUAUCUUAAGAUAGUGACACAUAUGGUUGUUAAAUUUUUAAUUUAUUCUAUUUGGUUCCUUAAUUUUAACCCAAUAAGCAAUAUGAUUCAUCAAUUUUUAAUUUGUUGAACGUGGUUAUUGGACUUUCGAUACCUAUUCAAGUUAGUUUUUAAAUUAUAUGAAAACGUUCAAUAUCAUCUUACCAUUAAUUUAAGUUUAAGGAUAUCACUGAAUAUUUUCAUAUAGGUCAAUAACUUGAUUAUGUACUAAAAGUUUAGAAAUUUUAUUCAAAUUGAGGGAUUACAAAUCCAUAUUGGGUUAUAAUUCAGGGAUUAUAUUGAGCAAUUUAAAAGUUUAUGUACUAUGUUACACGUUAAGUUAAAGUUCAUGUGGUUAAUACUGCGAAAAACUUUAAAUUAAUAUGUUUGUAACAAAUUUACUAAAAAUUAAUUUUUUGACUACAAAAAAUUCCCAAACUUGUAUACUUAUGAUGACUAAUUUUUUGACCACAAAAGCCCCAAAUUGAUAUAUUAAUGACAAAUUAAACUUAAAUAAAUUUUUUGAUACGCUUGUUACAAAUUUAUCAAAAACUAACUUUUAUUUAUUGAGCGAUGACCCUUUCACUAAUUUUUUUGAUCACAAUAUUAUAAAUCUAUUAUAAAUUUAAUAUAUGAAUUUAUUUAUAAUUUUUUUCGUAAUAUUAACUCUUGCGUCACCUUCUCUUUUUAUCCUUUUGCCCCUCGCUUCGAUAGCGUGGCGUCAAUUACAACGUCAUGAACGGAGCCCGAAAUGUCCAAUUCCCACUUUGACUUUGACCCAGCACCUAGGCAUGGGGCCCACGGCGACUCCAGCUCGGGGACGACCGGACGAGCGGAUUUUUUUAGCCGCGGGAAGGGACCAGAUAGAUGGAUACCUAACCCCGGGGGGGGGGGCGGGGUAGGUGUCGACCAAAGGACGCGAGCCUUCCUGUCUCCCGAGGUCACCGACGGUGAAUUUAGCAGCCCCUUGUCUAGCGGGGCUUUUCCGGACAUUUCGCUCCUGGCGGAGAAAAACUCAGCGCCCCGCCUCCGUGCCCCUUUUUCCCUUUUAAUGGUCGAAGCCCCUCCGUGCCGGUUGACUUUCUGAUAUCUGCGCGCCCGUUUGAUUAAAAUCACAUUCACUGCCUUAGGCUACAUAACUCCCUUAACUAAUUUGCCCAUUUUGGAAGGUUUAUCCAGCGGAUUAAUUUAAAACUAAUCGGUAAUUAAUACUGAUGGGUCACCUCUCAGCAUCGAAAAUCGCAUUGAAGCCGAGUCUAUUAUCAUAAAUCGAGUUUCAAUUUACGACCACAAUCCAAACCAUUAUUUGAAAUUAUCUUAUCUAGCCAAUAUGAUUCCUGAAUUUUAGUUUACUCAUCAUCUCGAAAAAUUCAUAAUAAUUAUAGUUUGAACGAUCAAUACAAUUUCGAUCUCCUACCCACUUUGCUCGACUCUAAACUAAAAGAGGGAUCGAAAGGGCAAACUUUGCGCCUUCGCGUGCGUCCUUUUGGACCACAGAUUAGCCAAGAAUCCAUGGGACGAGGUCCCCCCCUCAAAGACCUUUCCCCCAAAAAAAAACCCGUCCGUCAUCUUCAUAUUUUCCAACCGUCCGCCUGCCCCCCCGUCCUAGUCAUCGCCCAAAAACACUUCGCUCAUUUCCCACGCCAGAAAGGGCCGAAAGCCGCCACAUCCCUUGAGGCAAAUAGGACCAAAGACGCCACCCCCUCCACCCGACUUAAUCUAUUCAAAGAACCGACCAAAACAAAGGAGGACUCCUAUGUGGUAAAGACUGUCCAUAUCCCCAAGCUCUACAUAAAAAAUCAGCGAUUGUCUCUCUUGCCGCUGGCCGCAUAGAGCCGCUGGCACCCCCAAGACAUCGCGUCCGCAGGUGGCCGCGUAAGGGCGAUGAAUAUGAAGAUAAUUAUUAAGAUAAUGUGCAUUAUUAGCACCGCGUCUAAUACCGUCAGCCGUUCCGUCGCUUAAAAAGAGCUUGUCAACUCUAAUAAUUGUGCAAGGGCGGGUGCCUUGUAUUUACCGUAAUACCCCCUGGCACAUAGUAUGUGUUUUUCUUCUUUUGGCGGGGGAAGGGGUGGCGUGAUUUUCUUAACCUUCUGUUGCUAACGUGCGUCAAGUUAUGGGAUGUUUAAUUUGAUUAGCAAAAGCAUGAUUUAGAUUAGCAAAAAGUCCGUUUGUCUUGCCAAGAAAAGUCAAUGAGGAGGACAAGCUUAGCAUGGAACAAAGAAAAAAGAACUCAUGUCAGGGUAGAGGGGCAAGGGUAAGAUGAUGUUUCGAGAAUUGUCAUGCAAUUGAAUUGGUCGUCUAUAUAAUUCUUUUUUCCAAAUAUCUAUGGAUUACGAUUAGAUAGAAUAAUCACAUCUCAUCCGAUUUUGUAAACUUUCAAAUAAAGGUUUUGUUGAUAAAAUAAUAGUUACAUCAAUCUCAUAUGCAAUUCAAUGGGAUAUUCAUUAGAAUUGUAAUGGGAGCAGAUUUUGGGCCAAUGACAGGAAUUGCGGAUGUUUUGGUAGAAUGAGAGUUAAUUAUGGGCAAAUGAGUCGUGAUAGCCGCCUUGAAAUUUUUAAUGGUAUCAACUUGUAAAAGGAAGAAUGGUCAGGUACGUUGCACAAGUCACAUGAUUAAAGCAGGAUUUCUUUGUGACUACAGGAAAUUUACUUUUAGAGGGACAAAAAGCAUCCAAUCCACAUUAAAUAAAGGAACCAAAAAGAGGAAACUGGGUAGGAGGGUGCUACCCGAUAGUCCAAAUUGGGGCAAUUUAAAUUAACCCCGGGUCGGACCCAGAUUUUAAUUAGGCACCUCAAAUUACCGAGGUGCACACGUGUCGGAUUCCUGCCACAAGAAAACGGAAUAAAAAAUUGGCAAAUGAAUCGCGCGUUCCCUCGGUGGUCAUUACCGAGAAAAGCAGAUGCUUAGCGGUUAAUAAUAAAUUUUGAUUGAUUGAUUAGGAGAUUAAUUAAUUAGCCAAGUUAAGCCCAGUUGUCUUAGAUGGAAACAAAGCUUAAAUCUGCGUCCCCCAAAAAAAUCCAGAAUUUCUUUCCUUUUUUUUUUUAAAUUUAUUAUUUUCCCGGUUUGGACUUUGCCCAGAUCGCGCGGUGGCUCGGCGCCGAGCCCCGGAUCCCAAAUCGGGACUUCUAGUUAGGCCCCCUUUCUUCGGACGGGGAAAGCCGAGAGAGGCUCCGAAUUUAGGAAAAUGAAAAAGAGAAAAAAACCCUAAAAAGAGAAAAGUCCACGUCGCUUUAUUUAUUUAUUGAUUUUUAAAAUAUUUUUUUAAGAGGAUUCGGUUGUGAGUUAUCGGGCGAUGGCCAAAAGGAGGCCGGGAGGGGUUGGGGCGGGGGGUGGGGAAACAACCGGGCCCAAAAAAAAAAAAGAAAAAGAAAAAGUAAAAAAAAAAAUGGCAAAACGAGAAAAACCCGAGGUGGGGCCCAGCGAGGGAGGGAGAGCCAGCCAGGCACGAGCGGCUGUCGCGUGCCGCAUCGGCGGGUGCACGCGUGGCGGCCCCCACGAGCGCUGAGCUGGUGCUGUGGCCUUGGCCUCGGCCGGGAAAGAAAGGAAAAACCGGGGGAAUGCUGAGGUGGACGGGGGUAAAAUUUCGCCUCCGGUGGGCCCCGGCCACCUAUCCCUCCGCCCUCUAUCUGCGAAGUUUUUUCCUGUUUUCCAUUUUCUCUUCUUUUCUACUACGGAAAAGGAGGGGGAGACGAGAGAGAGGAAGAGAGCUUGUCUUCUAUAAAUUGACUGCUCUCGCCAUUCCCAAUCCUCCCCCUCCACAUCCCCAACCCGAAGCGAGAGCAGCCGCCGCCAGCCGCCGCCGCUGCAGCCGCCGCCUUCCCUCCUUCCUCUUCCGUCGUCCCUCCCUGCUCCGCCUCCCUCCCAAAACCCUUCGAUCUUCUCUCCAUUCUCUCUUCCUCUCGCUUUCUCUCUCCAAAUCAUUGAUCAGAUCUUUUUCUGCAGCUCUCUCUCUCUCUCUCUCCCUCUCUGUCUCCCUCCCUGCGCGUCUCUGCAUUUUGCGGGAGGGGGGAGAUUAUAAAUUUAGCCCUGCUGGUGCAGAGAGAAUCGGUGGUUCACCCACAUUUUUUAUUUCUGCCCCGGAGAGAAUCUCUGGUCUCGAAGAAUCCGCUCCGCCAACGAGAGCCCAUAAUUCGUGAAUUCUUAUAGUGGGUAGCGUGUGUUUUUCCUUUUUACUUUUUUCCCCCAUAAUUUCGUUCUUUACUAGCAUUGUUGGGUCGAGACAGCUCUCGCUUGUGAACCUCGAAAUCGUGAAUCCCGGGAAGGGCUCUUCUUCCUUUUCUUCCUGCGAGCGUCCGAGCGUCCAAACCCGCCUGCUCUUUCGCUUCGCUUGCUGGCCAUUUUUCGGGCGCGUGAACGGAGGGUCGAGGUGGGAUUGAGCGAAAGAAGCGAACUUGGGACUGGCUUGAAUCGGCCCCCGUUUGGUAUACGUAUCGAUAGAUCUGCUGAGGAUUUGGUUGUUUUUUUUUUUUGUUUCUCUCGUUUUCUUCGCUCGAGUGGGAAGUGGGUUUGUCGCGGGUUUGUUAUCAGAUCCUUUCCCCGAUCUCGCUUGGAUUCGAUUCUGGCGGUAACAGCUUGAACCCCCUUUUAUCCCUGCGAAAGAAAGUCCUUGCCUUCGCCUCUCGUCCGUAGCGGGCAGCCAAUCGAACCCAAGUCGCCUUCGUCGUUUCGAUAAUGUCGUCCGCUUCGUCGAGCUCGCUCCUUCAGCCGAAAACGGGACCUCAUGCUCUGCCGACGUCGCUCGCCAGGCCGUCCAUUACGCCCCAGCUGAGCGUGUCCCGUUACAGGGACAGGGCGAAGGUGGCGAGCCGAUGCUCUGUUUCCAAGCAGUCAACGGGCGUUCUGCAGAAGAAUUUCUUCGGGCCCCGGCUCCGGGAGACCGGAUCCGAGAGGCUCCGCGCCUUGGCGUCCGAUGGGUCGUCGAAGCUCCGCCUCCUCGUUCGGUCUGCAUUGUCGGCGGUCCCGGAGAAGCCUCUUGGUCUCUACGACCCGAGGUUCGAUAAGGACUCUUGCGGAGUCGGUUUUGUUGCCGAGCUGUCUGGUGAAAGCAGCCGCAAGACGGUGAGUGAUUUUGGUCAUCCAUUUCCACACGCUUUAUUCAUGCGCAAUUCGUCUUCGUUUGCUCCCCAUGUCUGAUUGGACGCUCACUUCUUUGAUUGGCGUUCAUGUUGAUUUCGUAAGUGCAUUUUCCACGGGCUUGCUUCCCAGUUUACUUGAAGGAAUCAUAUGCUCGCGUUUGAUCCGAUUGAUUUCCUGUGUGUAGAUGUCAAUUCGGGUUACGUACGGUGUUUAUUGAUGGUUGCGUGAUUGGUUUUAUGUUUUCGUCCGUAGGUGACGGAUGCUGUGGAGAUGCUGAUUCGUAUGUCGCACCGCGGUGCUUGCGGUUGCGAAACGAACACUGGGGAUGGAGCUGGAAUUCUCGUUGCGCUUCCGCAUGAAUUCUACCAGGAGGUAUGUCCUGUCCCUCUGUAUUUACUCCUUUCGCUGUGUAUUAUAUGAAAACGGAAACAAAAUAAGAAAACCUUUCACUGGCGAUCAUUGGAGCAAUUCCAUGUUACUGGAAAAAUAAAAUAAAAAAACAGAAAAAUCCUUUCUUUUUAAAUUAAUGCUGUUUUUUUUUUUUUGGUUUCGUCGACCAACAAUUUUCGUUCGAGGUAACAAACAUUUUUUGCGGUUCAGUGUCUUUCUGGUUCUUUGCUCGGAUGUUGAUCAUUGCUUGAUUCGAUUGCCUCCUCUCAGGUUGUCAGGGAGAAUGGAUUUAAAUUACCGCCUCCUGGCGAGUACGCUGUUGGCAUGUUGUUUUUGCCGACGUCUGACACUCGACGGGAACAGAGCAAAAAAGUAUUCCAAAAGGUAGUCUUGCCACCGAUUCUCUCUCUAUCUGUGCCCCUCCGGUGGUCACUGGAGCUAAUCCACCCGCCGGAAUUGGAUCAUGUCUUAAGCCUAGUUGCAUUGUUUACAUCUUUCACUUUGUCGUCAAGUCUGAUGUGGUUGUUUGGUGGUUUAUCCCGUGAAGGUUGCGGAGUCUCUUGGGCACGUGGUCAUUGGUUGGAGAUCUGUUCCAACUAAUAAUUCAGGGCUGGGCAAGUCGGCUUUGGAGACGGAACCUGUAAUUGAACAAGUAUUCCUUACGCCUAGUUCCAGGUCAAAAGUUGAUUUGGAGCGACAGGUACUUGCUUUUUAUCUCAAUUUAUUAUUUCAAUGCCUAGGACCUCGUUGUCCAUCCUAAGGAUUUUUGUUUUGCGAAAAUUAACUUUAACUUUUGUUUUUCUAUCGACUAACGCACUUGUUCCAUUUUUUACUAGAUGUACAUACUCAGGAGGGUCUCGAUGGUAGCUAUUCGUGCGGCCUUGAACCUCCAACAUGGCAGUGCUAGGGACUUCUACAUAUGUUCUCUGUCCUCAAGGUUUGUUCGUAAAUGAGAUCAAAUCGUAUCACAUUGCUUCGGUACUUUUUCCCCACUCGAUAUCUCAUCCAUUUGUUUAUCCAAAUUUGCAGAACUGUUGUCUACAAGGGUCAGCUGAAACCUGUUCAGUUGAAAGAUUAUUACUAUGCAGACCUUGGCGAUGAAAGGUUCACGAGCUACAUGGCCCUGGUAAAUAUAUUGACCUUUUACUUUCUUCUCCCUCCACUAACUCCGUACUUCAACAAACAGCAUGGAACGAGUGACUGACGGGAUGCAAGGUUGAGGAAUGACUUCUGAAGCCUUGGGGUUUGAAUGAUCCCUUAAGUUCUUCGACUCCCUUAAGUACACUGGGUGAGUUGGUAAGACACCUCGUUGUCAAGUAAAUCAUGUUUACUGAAACCUGGUGCAGAGCAGUAGUUUCAGUCUCUUAAGGAUGAGAUUACCUAUUUAGUGGAGGGAUGUGUUCAGUCAGACUGCCAUAGGCUCCCAGUAUUCUCAUACUUUCAUCCGUGUCACAGUUCCAUGUUCGUGGACUUUGUUCCAGAUUUCCCCUGCUAAAUAAUGCACAAUUGCAGUGUAAAAUGACUGUAUUGGCUGUUUUACUGGUGCAGAUACACUCCCGCUUCUCAACAAACACAUUCCCAAGCUGGGAUCGCGCACAACCAAUGCGAAUCUUAGGUCAUAAUGGGGAGAUUAAUACACUCAGAGGCAAUGUGAACUGGUAAUUUCAGAUGACGAGCUUGUUGAUUGCGAUUAUUGGCUAUUAUUUUCUCUUCUUCCUACAAGGAAUAUCAUUGAAUAACAGCCAAAAGGCAUAAAAUCUUUGGAUGUGACAGUACUCGAUGUGUCUCACCUUUCUUGAAAAAAUUGCUGCUUUCCACUCUUUCAAUAUCUAAAAUCUCCAGGUCUAGUUUAAGAAGAAUCCAAUGUUAAAUUCUGGUAUCAAUGUACAAGUUUUGCUUCACUAGGUUUAUGGAAAUUUUACCUUGUUAGUUAUAUGAAUAAUAGGGUCGUAUCUUUCUUCACAGACCUUUUUUGUUAUCUCUCUUGCCUUAUCUUUUUGUAUUGACACUGUAUGACACUCUUUUCUUCUUCUUCUUAGGAUGAAAGCACGUGAGGGUCUCUUAAAAUGCAAGGAGCUUGGUCUAUCAAAGAAUGAGUUGAAGAAGCUUCUACCAAUUGUAGAUGCCAGUUCAUCUGAUUCAGGUGGAGAUCUAUUCUGUUUUAUCAUAGGUGCUAGUUGCUAGUGGAACCACCUGCUUGCGUGGUUCAUUGGGAGUCAGUAUCUUUACGGACAUAAACUUGGAAGGUCUCAUGGUCUAACUUGGGAAAACUUCCCUCUUUUAGGAGCUUUUGAUGGUGUUCUUGAGCUUCUAGUUCGAGCUGGCAGAAGUCUCCCUGAAGCUGUGAUGAUGAUGAUCCCUGAAGCAUGGCAAAAUGACAAGAACAUGGAUCCUCAAAGAAAGGCUUUGUAUGAAUACUUCUCAGCUCUUAUGGAGCCAUGGGAUGGGCCAGCUCUGAUUUCAUGUAAUAAUUUGUUGAAUUACAGUACCAUUUGAAGCAAAUUCUCGUGCUAUCUACUUAUCAGCAGAAUCACUUGCAGUUACUGAUGGCCGCUACCUUGGAGCAACAUUGGAUCGCAAUGGCCUGCGUCCUGGUCGUUUCUACGUCACUCAUAGUGGAAGAGUAAUAAUGGCAAGUGAAGUUGGUGUGGUCGACAUUCCUCCCGAAGAUGUGUCUAGGAAAGGAAGGCUGAACCCUGGGAUGAUGCUUUUGGUGGAUUUUGAGAAGCAUAUUGUUGUAGAUGAUGAAGCCUUGAAGCAACAAUAUUCUAUGGCGAGGCCUUAUGGAGAAUGGCUUAGAAGGCAAAAGAUUGAACUCAAGGACAUAGUUGACUCUGUUCCUGAAUCUAAAAGGAAAGCUCCAGCCGUUGCUGGGGUGGUGGCAGUAAGUGUCUGAGUUUGACAAAUUUCCUUUGUUUAUUUUUGUGUGGGAUGCUCAUCUUGUUUGAUGUCUAUCAGGCAUCUGCAGAUGAUGACAGCAUGGAAAAUAUGGGAAUUCAUGGUUUACUGGCCCCUUUGAAAGCCUUUGGGUACACAAUCUCUCUAUAUACUUAAUACUGAACAUCCUCUUUGGUCUUCUUCUUGUUCUGAAGCUUUCACUUUUGCAGUUACACUGUUGAAGCUUUAGAAAUGUUGCUGCUUCCUAUGGCAAAAGACGGUACGGAGGCCCUUGGAUCAAUGGGAAAUGAUACGCCUUUGGCUGUCAUGUCUGAUAGAGAAAAGCUCACAUUUGAGUACUUCAAGCAAAUGUUUGCUCAAGUGACAAACCCUCCUAUUGAUCCAAUCAGGGAGAAGAUAGUUACUUCGAUGGAAUGCAUGAUUGGGCCAGAAGGUGAUCUUACAGAGACCACUGAGCAACAGUGCCAUCGCCUCUCGCUAAAAGGUCCUCUUCUGUCCAUUGAAGAAAUGGAAGCUGUUAAAAAGAUGAAUUACAUCAGUUGGCAAAGCAAAAUCAUAGACAUAACUUACUCCAAGAGACGUGGGAGAAAGGGACUGGAGGAAACCUUGGAUAGGAUCUGUGCAGAAGCAAGCAAAGCUAUCAAGGAGGGCUAUACAACUCUUGUACUGUCUGAUAGAGGUAUUUUAUUGUUAAACUGGAUCUAAUUUCUCUUGAAACAACUUGUUUAUAGGAUGGAGUUUUAACUACUUUUUCUUCCAAUGCAGCCUUCUCCCCUGAGCGUAUUGCUGUAAGCUCUCUCUUGGCUGUGGGUGCUGUCCAUCAUCACCUUGUAAGAAAGCUUGAGCGCACUCAGGUGGGGCUAAUUAUUGAAUCUGCCGAGCCACGUGAGGUGCACCAUUUCUGUACACUUGUUGGGUUCGGUGCUGAUGCCAUAUGCCCGUAUCUGGCAAUAGAGGCAAUCUGGAGAUUGCAAGUUGAUGGAAAAAUUCCAUCCAAAGCAAACGGUGAAUUUUUUUCAAAGCAUGAGCUGGUCAAGAAGUAUUUUAAAGCAAGCAACUAUGGAAUGAUGAAGGUUCUUGCAAAAAUGGGGAUUUCAACUUUGGCCUCCUAUAAGGGUGCUCAGAUAUUUGAAGCUUUGGGUCUUUCAUCGGAAGUUAUUGAGAAGUGCUUUGCUGGAACUCCAAGCAGGGUGGAGGGUGCAACAUUUGAGAUGCUUGCCCAAGAUGCACUUGAUUUGCAUGAGUCGGCAUUUCCUAAUCGUGUCUUCCCCCCUGGUAGUGCAGAAGCCGUUGCGCUACCUAACCCUGGGUCUUAUCACUGGAGGAAGGGUGGUGAGAUUCACCUGAACGACCCUCUUGCUAUGGCGAAGCUGCAAGAAGCUGCCAGAACUAAUAGUGUGGCUGCAUAUAAGGAGUACUCGAGGCGCAUCCAGGAAUUGAACAAAAGCUGCAAUUUGCGUGGUCUCUUGACAUUCAAGGAAGUGGCAGUCAAAGUCCCUCUAGAUGAAGUUGAACCGGCUAGUGAGAUUGUUAAGCGGUUCUGCACUGGUGCUAUGAGCUAUGGAUCAAUUUCACUUGAGGCACAUACGGCACUGGCCAUGGCAAUGAACAGAAUUGGGGGCAAGUCAAACACAGGUAUAAAUUAAUUUAUUUUCCCAUUAAUACAAUUUGAACUGGCUUACUUUGUCUCUUAGAUGUGUGAACCGCAACAUGUCUGAACUAAUUAAGAGAAAAAAAUUCGUGCUACCAUAUUGUGGGUGAAGCUUUUGUUUGCAUUUCGUUGCAUGUACUCAGAUUUAGGAAUAUUUUUACAUCAUCGGUAACUCUCACUUCUCCGGUUUCUUAUGUGUGAAGAGUUUUGCUCCUCAUAAUUGGAUUCAUAAAGUUCCAUCGUGUUUUCUGUUGAAGGCGAGGGAGGAGAGCAACCAUCUCGAAUGGAGCCUCUUCCAGAUGGCUCUGUGAAUCCAAAGAGGAGUGCCAUCAAGCAGAUUGCUAGUGGGAGAUUUGGGGUUUCAAGUUACUACCUUACUAAUGCUGAUGAGUUGCAAAUAAAAAUGGCUCAGGUAUAUGUUGGUUCUAUCACAAAGUAUGCGGAAUCCUCAUCUAUGGUUGCCUUUGAUUUUCAUACAGUUGGCCCUGUGUUCCUGUUGGAACAGAGCUUCCCUUUGUUUAUUCUUUUAUGUUCAUGGCAGAUGAUGCUGUGUCAGCAAAGCACCAUGCGGUGUCUUUGCUUUAAUUGAUAUCCACAUGUGGCAUUUGGUGAGGUUAACAUGUGCUAGAAAUAAUUCAUUUGAAAUGGAUUUAUUUGAUUUUGACUUCACUUGUGUUUUAAUGCAGGGGGCCAAGCCUGGUGAGGGAGGUGAGCUCCCUGGCCACAAGGUGAUAGGAGAUAUUGCAGUGACCAGGAAUUCUACUGCUGGUGUUGGACUGAUAAGUCCUCCUCCACAUCAUGAUAUCUAUUCAAUUGAAGACCUUGCCCAAUUAAUUCAUGAUCUUAAGGUAAAACUCCUAUACCCUUUCGUCUCUGUUGUCCAGUGCCUAGUUCCUUGCUCGUGCAAGCUAAUCGUCCCUUAUCUUUGCUUGCUAUCCUAGAAUUCCAAUCCUGCAGCUCGAAUCAGUGUGAAGUUAGUGUCUGAGGCUGGAGUUGGAGUGAUAGCAAGUGGUGUAGUGAAAGGGCAUGCCGACCACGUUUUGAUCUCAGGGCAUGAUGGAGGAACGGGGGCCGCAAGAUGGACAGGUAUAAAAAAUGCAGGGCUACCAUGGGAACUUGGUUUGGCUGAGACACAUCAAACCCUGGUUGCGAAUGACCUUCGUGGCCGGACGGUUCUUCAGACUGAUGGCCAACUAAAAACUGGAAGAGAUGUUGCCAUGGCCGCACUCCUCGGAGCUGAGGAGUUUGGGUUUAGCACUGCUCCCCUCAUUACACUUGGCUGCAUCAUGAUGAGAAAGUGCCACAAGAACACCUGCCCCGUUGGCAUUGCUACUCAAGAUCCUGUUCUCCGUGAGAAAUUUGCUGGAGAACCUGAACAUGUCAUUAACUUCUUCUUCAUGUUGGCUGAGGAAGUUAGGGAAAUCAUGUCUCAGCUGGGAUUUCGGACGAUGAAGGAGAUGGUUGGUCGUUCUGAUAUGCUUGAGGUUGACAGAGAAGUAACCAAGACCAAUGAAAAGCUGGAGAAUAUUGACCUCUCCUUGCUUCUUAGACCUGCAGCUGAGAUAAGGCCUGAUGCUGCUCAGUAUUGUGUCCAGAAGCAGGACCAUGGCUUGGAUAUGGCUUUGGACCAGAAACUCAUUUCCCAGUCCAAAGCUGCUUUGGAAAAAAGUCUCCCUAUCUAUAUUGAAAUGCCUAUUUGCAAUGUGAAUCGUGCUGUUGGAACAAUGCUCAGCCAUGAGGUGACUAAACGCUAUCACUUGGCUGGACUACCUACAGAUACCAUCCAUAUUAAACUCUCUGGAAGUGCUGGCCAGAGUCUUGGAGCUUUUCUCUGCCCUGGCAUCACAUUGGAGCUCGAAGGUGACAGUAAUGAUUAUGUUGGCAAAGGAUUAUCAGGUGGAAAAAUUGUAGUUUAUCCUCCAAAGGGAAGUGAAUUUGAUCCAAAAGAGAAUAUUGUGAUUGGAAAUGUGGCUCUUUAUGGGGCUACAAGUGGGGAGGCAUACUUCAAUGGAAUGGCUGCGGAAAGAUUCUGUGUGCGCAAUUCUGGGGCAAGAGCUGUAGUAGAAGGGGUUGGUGAUCAUGGAUGCGAGUACAUGACUGGUGGGACAGUCGUUGUGCUGGGAAAAACUGGCAGGAACUUUGCUGCUGGUAUGAGUGGCGGCAUUGCAUAUGUUCUAGAUGUGGAUGGUAAAUUCCAGUCAUGUUGCAAUCUUGAGUUGGUAGAUCUUGAUAAAGUCGAGGAAGAGGAGGAUAUUAUGACCCUCAGAAUGAUGAUUCAGCAACAUCAGCGUCAUACAAACAGCCAAUUGGCAAAAGAGGUGUUAGUAGACUUCGAGAGUCUUCUGCCUAAGUUUAUCAAGGUAUUCCCCAGGGAUUACAAGCGAAUUCUUGCAGACAUGAAAGCAGGAGAAGCUACCAAAAAUGCUCAGAAAAAUAUGGAGGAAGAACAGGAGCAAGAUGAGGGAGAGCUGAUGGAGAAAAAUGCUUUUGAAGAGCUUAAGAAGAUGGCAGCUGCAUCAACCAAUGCCAAAGCCAGUGCGGUAUGUAUCUGAUAAAUGAGAUUUGUUUUUCAACUUCUAGUGCUCUAAUUGAACAUUACAAUUUGAGUUACGAUUUUAACGCUUGAUGUAAAUCCUUACACUGAAAGAAAAAUAACAGAUUGCCUGACCAUGUUAUCAAUGCUUGUCUUUAUUGACAUUCCUGUGUGACACUAAGCCCCUGUUAUACCUAAAUUUUUUCAACAUCGGACUAGAAUACUUCAACUUAUGUGAUAGUUAUUCGACAUCGUUUAAAAUUCGGAAGAUCUGAUAUUUGGAUGAAGUUUUUUCCACUCCUGAGUUUGUGCUCUGCUUUAUUGAUUUUGCAUGCGUGGGUCUAUGUGCUGGCGCAAAUGUGUCAUAGACAGCUGAUAUCUCGAUAUGCAUGACGUGAAUAUCUUGUUCUGGGAUUCAUAACUUUUGGAUAAAUUUUUAAAAUUGAAAUUCUGCCACUUUGUUCCUUUAGGGUAGUUUCUGCAAUGUUUUGUGGCUUUCGUUUUGCGGCAAGGUUAAUCUUUUCUUUUUGUGAUUCAUAUGGGGGAAGACUGAUAUUGAGGAUUCAGCUGGUAACCAUUCUUUGAUGAGAUGUCUGACUUUAAGUUUUGGUUUUUAUAGACGGUAGAAUCUGUUGAGGCUCCCAAGAGGCCUACGCAAGUUCAUGAUGCCAUUAAGCAUGGAGGAUUUAUUGCUUAUGAGCGCGAAGGUGUUAAAUAUAGGGACCCUAAUGUUCGGAUGAACGAUUGGAAGGAAGUCAUGGAGGAGUCCAAACCAGGUCCCCUGUUAAAAACUCAGUCUGCCCGGUGCAUGGACUGUGGCACUCCAUUCUGCCAUCAGGUAAGAGUUGUAAUGAUUUUAUUUUAUAAUCGUGUCUGCGUAUGUAUGUAUGUAUUCUAGAUGAAUUUUAUCUUAUAUCUGUUCCUUUGGCUUUACUAUGCAGGAAAACUCUGGAUGCCCUCUUGGAAACAAAAUACCUGAGUUCAACGAGCUGGUAUACCAAAAUAGGUGGCAGGAAGCACUAGAUCGACUGUUGGAGACAAAUAAUUUUCCUGAGUUUACGGGCCGCGUGUGUCCUGCACCGUGUGAAGGUUCUUGUGUUCUUGGUAUCAUUGAGAAUCCUGUUUCCAUCAAGAAUAUUGAAUGCUCGAUCAUAGACAAGGCCUUUGAGGAGGGGUGGAUGGUGCCCCGGCCACCCCAGAAGAGAACAGGGUAUGCUGUCUCUUCAUUCAACAACAUUAACCAGUCAAUUAUAUCUGUGCUUUGCUUACUGUGCUCUUGGAGAAUAUGAUUGGUAGGCGUUGCUUGAAAAGCUAUGUCAAGGCUGUCCAUUAUAUUCCCUAGAGAUGUUUCUUUUCUCCGGGGUUCCUGUUCAAGUUACAUACUUCCAUUCCUUAAUUCACAAUGCUUGAGAAUUAGCCUGGUUUUCCAUUGAGUCUUUUGGCUUAAACCAGUCAGAUUUCAAGGUUGGUUGUGACAAAAGAUGUUGCCUAUUCUAAAGUUAAUAUCAUCAAUUUCUUUAUGUGCUCAGGAAAAAAGUUGCGAUAGUGGGAAGUGGACCGGCUGGAUUGGCUGCGGCUGACCAGCUGAACAGGAUGGGCCAUUUUGUGACAGUGUAUGAGCGUGCCGAUCGAAUUGGGGGCCUAAUGAUGUAUGGUGUGCCAAACAUGAAGACUGACAAAGUGGAUGUAGUUCAACGGCGAGUUAACUUGAUGGCUCAAGAAGGGGUCAAUUUUGUGGUGAAUGCCAGCGUUGGGAAGGAUUCAUCAUACUCUCUUGAUAGGCUCCAAAAGGAAAAUGAUGCUAUUGUUUUAGCUGUUGGUGCCACAAAACCAAGGUAAGUUCAUUGUGACUUAACCUUGGGGACAUGUUGUAGGAGUUUUUGCACCAUGUUCUGGUUGAUGAGAAAAGCGAUAUUUAUGCUUGUGGAUUGAAUUUUCCUUCUUGCAGGGACCUUCCUGUACCUGGACGCGAAUUGUCAGGUGUUCAUUUUGCCAUGGAGUUCCUUCAUGCAAACACAAAGAGCUUGCUUGACAGCAAUCUCAAGGAUGGUAACUACAUAUCUGCAAAGGGAAAGAAGGUAGUGGUCAUUGGUGGAGGUGACACUGGCACGGAUUGCAUAGGAACAUCUAUCAGGCAUGGCUGCAGUAGAAUUGUAAACUUGGAGCUGCUUUCUAAGCCACCGGAGAAGAGGGCUCCAGGCAACCCUUGGCCACAGGUACAAAUAUUACUUAAGUUACCUUUUCUCUUGACAACCACAGGAGUACUCUUGCUUAUUCCGUUAUCGUUUAUUUUAUAGCAUGCGCAGUGUAAUAUUUGCUCACCGUUCUUUUCCUCUGUUCAAUGCUGUUUACAGUGGCCUCGCGUCUACCGUGUUGAUUAUGGCCACCAGGAAGCUGCAGCUAAGUUUGGGAAAGACCCAAGGUCUUAUGAAGUGCUAACUAAGCGGUUUAUUGGUGAUGAAAAUGGGGUCGUUAAAGGGCUUGAAGUAGUGCGUGUUGGGUGGGAGAAGGAUGCAAGUGGGAAGUUUCAGUUAAAAGAAAUCGAGGGAUCUGAGGAAAUCAUUGAGGCUGAUCUGGUUUUACUGGCCAUGGGAUUCCUUGGUCCAGAAUCGGUGAGUAUUUGAACUGUUCUCUCAUAUUUGUCAAAUAGUUUGAGCCGUGCAAAGAAAGGAUUUGGCAUGGGAAAGUGAAAUUUGCAUGUAAAUUAGUUGUUUUUCUUUCGGUCGUAACAGUGUGACUUGGUUAUUCAGCGUAUGUGCUAAAGUAAAUUUGAUUGGCAUGUUGGCCUUUAGAGGCUUACUAUUGCCCUAGGAAACCUUAUAUAAUAUGGAAAAGUCGAACUGGUUAAAAAUGAAGAGUGUGAAGAUACCAAAACGAAGAAUGUGAAUAUACCUUUUAACCCAUACUUAAAGUUUAUGUGCAUAGGGCUAGUGCCGGGUGGAUGUAAAUUUGUUCUCUUUUUCUGGACAGUUUAUUGACAGCAUUUGUGCCUGUUGUUUUUGCUGGUUUGCCCUUUCCAGACAAUUGCAGACAAGUUAGGUCUAGAGAGAGAUGGCAGGUCAAACUUCAAGGCUGACUAUGGCCGGUUUGCGACCAAUGUGGAGGGAGUUUUUGCUGCCGGGGAUUGCCGACGCGGUCAGUCUCUGGUGGUGUGGGCCAUCUCCGAGGGAAGGCAAGCUGCGGCGCAGGUCGAUAGAUUCCUCCUGCCAAAGGAGGAGGAUCUCACCGUCGACCCUGAGAACCAAGAGGACUUGACCUCUCAGCAGCAGGACAUCAACAAGCGGCAAGAAGGCAGCGGCAAAUUCACUGUGGUGACAUAGAGAUUCGCGGAUUCUAGUGUUUUGCGCGGCGGGGGCAAACGGUAAAAACCGAGCCCGUCGUGAAUAUGUGAGAGGAGCCUCCUCUUCAGUUCGUGCUGUGGAUCGGAGACGCUAUCGUAAGGCCCGAGGGAGGGAACGAGGAAGGUGGUGGGGAAGAUUGGCAGGCUGAACGUGCCCAUGUGAUGCUGGCUGAGGCUUCAUAUGGUUCGAAGUUAUUCUACUUCUGGGGUGCGGGGCUUAAUCUUAGAGUCUUUGUUUGGGUUUAGGUCUGAAAGUUUGUUGAUUGUUACAAACGAAUAAUGUACAGUUUUCUUUGUCGACGGACAAGGUUUAUAAUAGGGGCAAGAUGCUUCGUAUUUCAUCGAACAGCCGAUGCAUUUUGCUAUUCUUUUUUUUUGGGUAUCAUAACCGGUAGCUUCUUCAUUCGAGACGGUUGCCAACCUUGUGUAACAAGGGAUGAUGGAACGUGAUGUGAGUGAGAGUACCAUAUCUGUUAAUAAGAAAAGCUGCAGCACAGCGUUGGGCAACUGCAAUGGAAACCAUCUAUUGUCACUUCUAUCCUCGCAUGAAUUUUGUUAAUGAGCACAAAUCUGGGAAUGACAAGCAAAACUCGAAUAAUUCAAUUCAAUCUUCGACAAUGGACUCGUCCUGGUAACUGGGUAUUAAGAAUAGUGGAGAGUUUUAUAAGACAAUUUGAUUCAAUUCGAUCCGGUAACUUGGAUAUUAAGAAUAGUGGAGAGUUUUAUAAGAUAAUUUGAUUCAAUUCGACCAUUCGUCUCGGUGACUUUGGUUCAAUUUUUGAUAACUCGCUGAUCAAUUUGAGAGUUCUAUAAGUCAAAGGGUUUUGGUGGACAUAUAUCUUAGGAGUGAUCUCACUAAUCAAAUGAACCAUUUGGGUACUGCGUGGCACCAAAAUCGAAUUGCGAUUCCAGCACGUCCACGUCGCCGACACGUGGGCUGCCGAACGACGCUGCCCCGAGAGGGAAACGGCGAGUCGUCGCGCGUCCCCUCCUCCUUUCUUCAAGUUCCGUGCGUCGUUUUUGGGUAUAAUUUCUCUCUCUGCUCGAACUUCAUCUUCCCCACCCGAGAGAGAAAGUCCGUCCUUGCUUUGGAUCGCGAUGGCCAUCGUCAAUCUGGGCCGCCGACUCUCCGCCUCCCUCGCGGAUCUCUCCGCCCCGAAGCUGGCCCUCGCGCGCGCCGUACCCGAGCCGCCGGCCCGCUCCGUCGCCGGCUCGGCGGCGGCCCGGCUGUUCGGCUCGUCGACGGAGCAACCGCCCCGAGGAGGAGGAAACAACCCUAGCGGGGAGGGGCAGCCGCGGGAGGACGCGGCGAAGGGGAUCCGGCAGCAACAGGAAGAGGAAGAACCGCGCGGAGAAGGAGAAGAAGAAGAAGAAGAAGAAGACGACGACGGGUACAUGAACAGGAAGACGGGCGAGAUCGGUGGGCCCAGGGGCCCCGAACCGACCCGCUACGGCGAUUGGGAGCGAAACGGUCGCUGCUCCGAUUUCUGAGACUCCCCCCCUUUUUGUUUCCGGUAGGGUUAUCUGUCUCGUUGUUCUUGUUUCACACCCCACCCCCCGUUUAAAUGAUCAAUGGAUUUGUGCUGCGAUUUCGUCGAAAGAUUCCUUUCUAGAUUUCUCGCCACCGCUUCCGAUCGAACAGCGCACGAUUUGAAUCGGUCGCCGGACGCGGAAUGCGGAAGGCAAGCAAAACGCUCCAUUAAAGAAAACGAGUCGAAUCGCCGCACAGCGGCCCACCAGCCCAGAAAAGGGUCGGCGUCGCUGCUCGUUCUUACUGCUUUUCUUGAACAGAAAGCUCAAAGUCUCCUACUAAUCUCUCUCUCUCUCUCUCGCUUUGUCUGUCCCCAUUUCACGACAAGAUCUCGUUUUGAUUUCCCAUGGCUCUGGGUGAUACCUUCUCAUCGGUCUGACCAACGAUAAAAAAAAUGAUCUUUUUCCACGCGUUUGCAGCUACCCACUCGAAUUGUCAAAAUGGGUCGUCAUCCGUAAAGCGCCGGCGGCAGCGCUUGUGAACAUCUCCGGGUCUUCGGGGCUCUCUUCGAUUCAGCUAAAGAUCGCGCCUUUUAUAUUAGUCAACCGAUCGGCAAAUUUGAACGCAUUCCUCCGUUCGUAAUUUGACCGGCCACCCUUCUUUUGUAAGCGUCGGAGCGUUCGGGUAGUUUAACGUUAGACUAGAACAGAGCAUGUCGAAGCAGGCGCAUGGUUCGGAAGUGGACCAUUUCUAUCUCCAUCCUUUGUCGUCAUGAACGGAGAGUGGGACGCAAGAUUAUCCUUCCUUAGGGGCAAACGGACCGCCCAGAUCAAAAAUUGCCUGGAUCGGACCGAAUUCCAUUUGGGACAUAACUGACUACAUAUACUCUUCUCUUUUGGAAAUUGAGGAAAUUGAAAUAAAAAAAUUAGUGGAUUUAGUUUAUUGUUUUUGAGGAAAUAUGAGCCUACAAUUAGAUAAUAAGAUAUCUUGAUAGAAGUAUAAGAUUUGUCUCGACUUAUGAAUUUGCUCAUGGACAUGCUUUGGAUGAUAAAAUAUCUGGAUGAAGACAUGGAAAAAAAUAGUGAUAAGUUCCAUUGGACCGGAUAGGAUUGAUUCCAUGUCUUAGGAUCAAGUUCUCGGUUUUACCUUGAAAUCGGAUUAGAUCGGAUCGGGAAUUGAUCAACCUUAGUCUUUCCUUUACUUAUUUCAUUUUGUGUAUUUGCAGGUUGUGUUAAAUAGCAAAUUGAUAUGUGUCAAGAUGCAUAAUCCCCCUGACCGACCAAAAAAAAAAAAGAAGAAGAAAAGAUGCAUGAUCCCCCGGCUCGUGGAGCUCGUCUCCUGCGUCGGUAUCAUACAAACGGGUGUUUCAUGUCGCCUCGCUACAAAGCGAAAAACAAACGUGGAAAAGGAAUCUACAAUCUGCCCUUCCCUAGUGAAAUGACAAUGAGGGCUCUGCUGAAGGAAGCUAGACAAAUGCCGACCAAGAGGCGCUCGCAAACUAAUGGGUUCCACCAUGCCAAUCCCUUUCCUGACGAAGAGAUGGCAUCCGGAGAAAUAUGCGCAACAAAGAGAGAGUCAGACCGAAAAUGAACGAAGCGGAUCGAAAGUCAGCCCUUAGUUGUGUUAUAUCAAUACGAUUUGACAGCCUAAAAAUGACGACUUGGACGAGCACCAACGAUCGCGGUUUAACAAUUCAAACCGGAAGAACUUCAUUCAAUUCCGAUCCGAUCCUGCGUCAUCUGCACAAGAUGAAGUACGCCUUCCCUUUGUUUUCUCGUUGAUGUUAGAAUAUUAUAAGCAAUCUAGCCAAUAAUGGACGAUUUCAUUAUGAUAAAUGCCCCCAAAUCACGUCAACUCUGAAGAAAAGAACGAUAAGCAAUGGCGAACUCUUCAACCUGCUAUUAAUAAUACCCUAAUUCCAUCGUCGCACUUAUUUGAAGCAUUCUCAGUCAUAUUUUCGGUCUAGCACUACAGUUCAGGUAUUUAAAGCAAAUCUAAUCACAUUUAUUCAGAAAGAAAAAAGAAAACCCAAAUGUCAAUCGUCAUGGUGACAAAUAGCUUGUGAUUGGAAAUGCAUGUUAACAUGGCCAGGUUAGCUCGACUAAUCUUCAUUGAUGCGCACAAAUGGCACCGUCCACAAUGUACCAGAAUAAAAGUUCCGAGAGCGUAUGUGAGCAUUUAAAUGGGGGACUCAUCAUUGGAAAUCACUUGAGAAACUGAUGUUCGUGGUAUUUGGCGUUGUUUAAGCUCCACGAGUAUGUUGCCUAAUUGUUAUUCAGGAGGGUAUCUAUGCAAUGGUUCAUCGAGUAAAGAUCAGAGAUGGGAGCCCCGUGUUUUGAGAAAGAUGCCCCUAUUGAUUCAACGAGUUGAUUAAGCUCAUGAGCAAGGACUUCUUCGUUCAAUAAUAAUAAUUUUCACAUCGACCACGACCGAUUCUUCAAUCUAAAACCACUUCACACGAUCCACGCCUGACAUCAUGUGGUGGAGCCUCACAUUGACCGAGACCUUUCGGAAAUUUUAAUAAAGCGCCCUCUCCAUGAAGAUGUUGUGCAGAUAUAUAAGACCUCUUCAUCUUUUCUCAUCGGUCAGAAGAAAAAAUUAAUAUAAACUCCGGUGUCUAUUAGGCUUGGUUAUCUCCUUUUCUGAAGCUUUUCACCACUCCAAAUACAAUGAAAAUCCUCACUCUCUUUGUGACCUUGUUAUUCUUCUUCUUGUUAUGCACGGAAGCGAGUGCCAAGACCUGCACCCCCGCCUUCUGUCACCGUGACGAGCCCAUGAUCCAUUUCCCCUUCCGGAUUGGAACCCUCCAGCCUGAAUCUUGUGGGUACCCGGGUUUCGAUCUGUCGUGCGACGGGGUGAACCGAACCGUACUAGAGUUGCCCAACUCAGGUCCAUUCACCGUCCAAGGCAUAGACUAUGCCGGGCAAGAGAUGUGGGUGAAUGACCCCGAGGCUUGCCUCCCCAAGAGGCUUCUCUCCCUCAACCUCUCCGGCUCGCCCUUCGCCGGUGUCUAUUCCCAGAACUUCACCUUCUUCAACUGCUCCUCCAGCUACAUCAGGUAUGGCCUGGACCCGAUCGCCUGCCUCAGCGGCUCAAACUACAGAGUCUUUGCGACCUCCUCACCCUACGUCGUGAAUACCCUCCCCUCGUCAUGCGCCCUUGUGAAGACUGUCCCAGUCCCGGUCGAAUUCCCGUUCUUCGAGCAGGUCAUCUCGUCAAACCUCAGCAGCGAUCUCCCGCUCCAGUGGGGGGUGCCGCAGUGCGGAAGGUGUGUGGUUCGGGGCGGGAGGUGCGGGCUCAAGGGCAACUCCACCACUGAGAUUCAGUGCGCCAAUGUGCCCCAGCGUGGUAAGAAGGAUCUUUCUGUUCAGUCUACACUAACUUCUUUCUUGCGUAUGCGCAUGUGAGUGUAUUCAUACAUAUCAUCCUCGUCACAAGAGCAUAACUAAUACUGCAAAUUUUGAACAUGUUAGAACUCUCGGAAUUAGGGGAAGAAAUAGAAUCAAAUAACCUCGUCCCAACAAACAUCUAGCUACGUAUGUAGAGCCUAAUGGACAAAAGGAAGGAUUUAGGUUUGUGCAGUGAAGUGGUCUGUUCAGGUUCCUGGAUUUUCAGUCUCUCCGAGGUCUCCCAGCGGUUUAGGCCCAACAAAAAGAAAAAUCCCUGUCAGCAGGGUAUAAAGUACUUAUAUACUAGAUUAAUUUCUUUCUUCCCUACGAUCAAGUACAGUGGAAUUUUUCAGGCCUUACGGGAAAAAAAAAAAAAAACAAAAUAAGUCUACACAAAACGUGAAUAUCCGGGAGUUCAGGAAUGUUCAAGCAGAUGUUGGGUCCAUCUUCUCGUCAUUUUCUUGUGAAUCCUGCAAUUUAAGGCAAGGAGGAUUUGACUUGAUCAGGACGGUACAAGAUUUAUGAUGGAUGAACUCGAGACUUCAAAGCUUCUUGUCCACGUCCGGGAACAGUAAAAAGAUCUCGUGUCGGUACGAAAGAUUGUUCAACAGUCUGAUUGGUCAAUCAUGCAUCUUGCGUGCCUCCAAAUAAGAUAGCCAACAGUAAUUACUAAUAUAGGUCGAAGAAUUCUUCCCAAGAAUUACUUCAAAAUAAAAUGCUAAGAUGCUGAAAUAUAAAUUGUGAUUUUAUUUUUUCGAGACCCACGAUCAUAUUAGCAAGUAAACCCACAUAAAUAGGCAGAAAUAAGUCCGUACAUGAAAGUUGAUAGCGAUAUCGAGUUAAUUUUAUGAAAUAAAGUACUAAAGAGUCUAUUCGAUAGUAAUAUUUUAACGAUAAUAGUGGCCUUUUCUAUAACCUGGGCACGUAGAAUUUCUUUAGAAUCACUGAGAAAGAAGCCAUUGCGACUAUUCAGAGGUCGACAUUCAAAUUCCGCGAUGAGUGUUCAUCAUCACCGUGGGAAUUGACAACGGUGGUGGGGUUUUCAGGAUGAUCAUGAUAAGGAAAGCGACACCAAAGGCUGGUGCUGCCCUUGAUUAAAGUCAAUGCAGUUCAUCCAACGCUGGCUUUGAAGCCAUCUCUUUCGUGAUGCUUUCAUGAUUACAAACUGGUCAAAGAUUUCUCUGCUGCUCUCGCUUCUUUUUUGGGCUCGAGAGGGGUAUGAAUGGAAUGGGAGCAACUCCUUGAUGGCGAUGGGGAUAAGCAUUGACUGAAGUCAACGCAUAGGGCCAAAAAGGUGGGGCCAAUCAGAAGAUGCAAAAUCCCUCUUGGCUUCUGCUUUCCGAGUGGCAUCCUCCUCUCUUUUUCUGCCACCUCAUGCCGCAACUUUAGGUUUCAGCUUGGGGUUGACUUUGACAUUGGCUCGAUUGGGUUUCGUUGAGACCAACUUUUGGGUCAUUCGUAUAGAAACAGCAGCAGGGCUGACCAAUAAACGCACUUGAUUUGAAAUAGGAUUGUUGUGUACAUGAGAGAAGACCGGAUUCCCACAUUUGUCAUUUAAAUAUCCUUUGUGCUUUAGAACGCAUAGAGCAUGCGCAUCCCAAAAAGUUGCAUUUGACCCGGGAUUGGUAUAUGGCUGACCAUCUUAUCUGUUUGAUCAAGCAAAUUAUCUUGAGCUUCUGGUAUAAUAGGUUUACAUGCUUUCAGUUUCAGGGAUUCCAAGGGGCGCCCGCUACGUGAUCAUUGUCGGGGUUGGUGUCCCGGUGAUUCUGGUCCUCCUGGGCUUACUUUGCCAUCUCUGUGGCAGAGUGAAGUCCUAUGCGAGAGGGCGGCGCCCUGUUGUCGGGGAAUUUGCCACGGCGGUUGCGCCGCGUUCUGCCGUUGUUUCGGGACUUGACAGGGUGGUCAUUGAAUCUUACCCAAAAAUUGUCCUAGGAGAGAGCAAGCGGCUUCCGAAGCCCGACGACAGCACUUGCCCGAUUUGCCUAUCGGACUAUCAGCCCAAAGAGACCCUCAAGACCAUACCGCAAUGCAACCAUUGCUUCCAUGCAGAUUGCAUUGGCGAGUGGCUUUGCAUGAAUGCUACUUGCCCAGUUUGCCGGAACUCGCCGCCCCGAUCAUGAUGGCGUGUUUCGUGUUGUGUCCUGUUUCUCUGGCGCUCGAAUUUGUGUAUAAAUCUUGAAGCCACUUGACAGUUGAAAAGAGUUUCUCUUAUUAGCUGAAAGAGCUCAAGGGUGGUAGAAAAACCGGACAAACUAGUUCUACUCGGCUUGAACUGAAAGGAAAUGAUGAAGAGUUCGAUCAGCAUGGUAUGAAUGUGUUGUAGUGUUUGACUCAAAAGGACACAAGUAGCCCCUUUGAAACCAUGAAGUUGUUCGGUUCCAGUACAUAUCAGUAACCAAUUUCAUAAGCUGAGUUGCCACUCUUUGGCAAGAAUUCACUCUGUUUAUGAAGCCACCGUACCACCCUAAUUCACCGAUACAUUCUCUUUCAAGAAGCUUCGAACUUGCGUCAUUCCCGCUUGUGAUUGAAAUGACCUUGAAAACAUUACCCUUUUACUCUCUUAGCGCUUCUGCAGAUACGUUGUCUUCAAUUAAUUAUGUAUUUUAGAACUUAAUCAUCCUCAUGGGAAGGGCCAUUUUUCCUAGCAGUAGUAGUCUCAUUCCUUUUUAAAUUGCUGAAUCUAGAUAUUUUCAACUCCCCAAGCAGACAGAAAGCACAAUUCUUGUCCCAGAAACCAAUUGUUGCUAUAUUUCCUGGAAUUCAGGACAUGAAAUGCACACAAGAACGAACUGCAUUCACGCUGGGCAAUCAAAUCCAAUAACUUAUUAUUUUACAAACUUCCAGUAAGUACAUAGAUUCUAGGAUUACAUAACAACUUGCCUAAUAGGAAAUAUAAGAGGAAAGGAAUUCCUCUAUACAUAUUGGAUCUAAUACUAUAGGUAAGUGGUGGGAGCUCAUCAAUGAUUUCCACAAAGUACAUAGAUUCUUGUAUCACAUAACGUACGGCUUCAGUCACGGAGAGAUGACAUACUGCAAAAGGGCACUCGAACUUAUUCCGCAAUAACUUCUAGAUCUGUGUUCCAGAGCCUUCCGCGCAUGAUUGCAGCAUCCCCUGAACUGGAGGAAACAAAAGGAUUUUUUGGCAUGACAGGGCACUCAUCUCCCUCAAGCAUCUGAACCACCGCUUUCACAGGGGGCCGAUCGGCAGGGUACCAGUGAAUGCACCAGAGCCCCACAAUUGCCAGUUUCUUGGCUAUGUUGUGGUCGCCAUCCUCUUGGAUUCGUAUUUCAAGCUCUUCACCUUUAUUUAGAUGGUUAUAGACCCACUGCGGGAAGUACAUCUGGCUCAUGUUCUUCGCGUUCACAUCAACGUUUUUUCUCCCCCCAACCAUUUCGAGCAGCAGCAUUCCGAAGCUGUACACGUCCGACUUAGACGACACGCUUCCAAAGUUCCUGGAGAAGACUUCUGGGGCAAUGUAACCCAUGGUACCUCUGGCUGCAGUCAUGGACACUGCACUUUGUUCCUUGGAACAUAGCUUUGCCAGACCAAAAUCCGCAAUCUUAGGAUUGAAGUUGUUAUCUAGCAAGAUGUUGUGCGGCUUAAUGUCGAAAUGGAGGAUCUUAUGAUCACACCCCUGGUGAAGAUACUCUAUGCCUUUGGCCACUCCGAGAGCGAUAUCGUGGAGCCUCUCCCAACUAAGGAAAGGGUCGAGAGUGUCCUCGCCCUGAAAUAUGAACUUCUCCAGAGACUCGUUCGCCAGGAACUCGUACACCAAGGCUCUUCGGAAACCGUCAGCGCAGAAACCAACCAUCCGGACCACGUUGACGUGGUGAAUCCUUCCCAUCGUGCUCACUUCGUUGAUGAACUCCUCUCCAUUCCCAAAUGAAUUGUCCAGCAUCUUCACGGCGACAAAAAUCUCGUCCGAUAGCUUCCCUUUGUAGACCGUUCCGUAAGCCCCCUGGCCUAGUUUUUCCUCGAAGUCAUUGGUUAUCCUCUUGAUGUCAUUGUAGGAGUAACGGGUGGGCUUGAGGGCCUCGUAGUCUUGCAAGAAGCUCUCGAUCUUGAGUUGGAAUGCUUUAUCUCUUCUUUUUUCAUUGAUGACAUAGCCGAGUCCGCUUAAUACAACAAGAAAGAGAAAAAAGCCCACCACUCCUCCCGCGAUCUCUAGCUUUUUUCUUCCUGCAGAUUCAAAGAAGUCAGUACUAGAGCUUCUGCCGAAGUUCGUAGGAAUGAUAAAACAACUAGAACAAAAGCCCUCAAAACCAGUUAUAUCAGCUUUACUUAACACCGUGACUGACCUUCAUUUCAGGUCAUCACAGAUAAUUUCUAUAAAAACUGGGCAAUCAGGAUUCAGAACACCUUCAAUUUAUAUUACAGAAAGUAUCAUCUGAAAAACAAGACUAAGUUGUGUAAUGCAUCCAUCCGGCAGAAUUGCACAUGCAAAAGCAAUCUUAGUUUCGCAGAAGCCCUAUUUCUUGCUUAGAAACUAUGAUUCUCCUUCCUCUGCACUCCGUGGAUCUUAUCUUUACGAAAGAGAGACUUGAUAAAUUUCAACAACCGUAAGUCAGAAAGCAAUUUUGCUAUACUCAUCACCAGAUUUUAAAAGCUUUGGAAUGAUGGCCUAAAGAAAAGAGCUCGAGCGUUAACAAUCGCUUAAACUAGAAAGUGAAAUAACACAAGAGUCAAGCAAAGUCUCAUGAAACAUAAAAAAGUAUGGGAAUCGAUAAUACCUUUGUGUCCGCCAGGAGGAUUGAUGCAGAAGAUGCCACUCUCGUUCUGCCGACACCACUUACUGUGAUUCGUGCAUCGCCCGCAGUCCGGCUUUUUUUUGUCCCAGAACAAACGGACCUCGUCCAUCAUGCUAUCGAUCAUCAUCGGGAGCAAGUCGAUACUCCCGUUCCUCAUGCAGGAUACCAGUGGCAAGUCUCCGACGUAGGAGUAGGACUGGACGGCGAAGACGUCGUACUCGGAUGUUUUCACGCAAUCCAGCCGGGUCAUGCUGCUGUCGCUCCUCCCGUCCUUCGGGCACUGGAACAGGGUAUAGUUGUAGGGCGGCGAAUAACCACUAUACGAGUAACCACUACUAUCCCGGUUGAGUGAGCUGUUGUCGUAGAAGAAGAUAGAGUGGUUGAGGUUCGCCAGCAGCAAGGGGAUGCAACUGUCGCGGUCCCGCACGCCGAUGGAGGUGUUAUUGUAAUCGAUGUCCGUGACGACAAGCGGCCGCGGGGUGUCCGGGAGCGAGAGCUGGGUGUGCCCACGCUCGUCGCAGGACAACUUGAAGUCCGGACUGUAGCCGCAGCCAGGUUGGCCCUUGCCUUCGAGCAGGAACGGGAACUGGACGUCCGGCCCGUGAGGGCAGUUCUGGGGGGGGCAACGGUCCUUCUCGGCGAGGUGGGCGGGGUGGGCGGUGCCAUGGGCGAAGCAGAGGAAGAGGAGGACGAGGGAGGGAACGGAAGAGCGCAUGGUGGACGGAUCACUGGUUUCCUUACGCUCUCUCUCUCUCUCUCUCUCUCUCUCUAUCUCUCUCUCGUUUUGUAAUUCUCGUCAGGCCUAUCCGCGAGAGAGAGAGAAAACCAAGAACCGUUGUUGCAUCUGCAAUGAGUUUACUUUGACUUGGACUUUUCGCGGUCCAUCGUUGUCUGUCAGUCGCCCCCGCGUUACUAAUGUAUUAUUGGGGAAGCGAGUGCACGGGAAGUUUACUCGGUCAAGUCAAGCUCGAACUCGCGAAGCAAGUUCCUCCUCCUUUCCUCGUUUGAAUACCUUAAACUACCCAUUCGUCUAAUAACUUAAAAUUUUAAAAUAAUUAGUAAUUAUUUUAUAAAAUUUCACACUUUCUCCGUGUUUUUUUCUUUUGGUUUUGCUCUCGGGUCAUAUUCAACCAAGGGUUACUCAUCCAUGGCCCUCCUUUUUUUGAGUAGUGUCCCGAAUUGAAACAUGGGUAUUUUUUUUUUGAUGAUAUUGUCAACCUAUGUUUUCCCCAAAAAAUUAGGAAAAAAAUAAGAGAAUUGAAAAAGAAAAAAAAAUUGUAGGUAUCUGAGAAUGGUUUCCAAAUUCUUUCAGCUAUGCUGGUGUCAAGCAAAAUGAGUUCCCUUUUGGUGAAAGACGAGUUUUACUUAUUCAAAUUUUGCCUGGCCUGUUUGAUUUGUGGAUCGGAUGUUUAAAUGACCGUUACGAAGACAAAUAAUCAUCAUUCUAAUUAGAAAUUGAUUUCUAGAAGAGAAAUAAAUUUUUCUAUUUUUAUUCUUAUAUGAGUUUCUAAGCAAACAAGAGUGGUGGGGGAUGGUGGGGGCAGUAGUGGCUGACGGUCGGUGAUCGGUGGACGACGAUAGGCAAAUGGAGGCGGCCGACAACUGGUGAGAACGUGGCGGUGAGCAUCGGUUGAUGGAUAACAAUUGGGGAGUGGUGGUCGAUGACAACCGGCGACCAACGACCGACGAGCUGGUGGCGGCGGAUGAUCGACAGCAGCUAGCUAGUAAUGAGAACAAAUGACGAGAAUAAUUUUUAUUUCUCAUUUAUGUUAUAAAAAUAGAGAAGUAAAAUUUUUUUACUUUCAAUUUUUGUUCUAAAUUUAUUUUUGCAGUAAAAAUCUAUUCCAAAAAUAGAAAAAUGAAAUAGUUUUACCAAACACAUUUAUGUUUUGGAAACAAUUCUGGAACAGAAAAAUAGUUUUGGGACAAAAAUAUAAUAAUUAUCUUGGGUGCCCUAAAUUGAGAUGAAGAAUGCAUCAGUAGUGAAAAGAAUAAUGUAAAUAUACAAUCAUUUUUAAAAUUUGAUAAUAAGUUUCACAAGAGCACUCGAAUAUUAAUGUAUUGGGGAACAUCGAUUUGCGGGCAUGGUAAAAGAUAUGUUGACAAACAUCGACAUGCCUUAAAAAAUAUCUUGAAAGCUUGCAUGUGCACUAAUUGUGUGAUCAUGUCGAAACCGUCCCUCAUUUUUCAUUAUUUAAGAAAAUGUUUAGAUAUAAAUUAUUGUCAAUAAUGAAGACACAUUCGGCAGACUAAUUAUUUCAAGUAGCAACAUAAGCGAUCAUUUUUGAGAAUUUUUUUUAAAUCAUUUAUUUUUCACGAAAUCGAAACCUUAGUUUAUUUUCAUCAAAUCAAUUCAUUCGACCAAGCCAACGCAUAGUUAAGCGUUGACCAACAACUUACAUGCUUACAUUAGAAGUACACGGCUAAAAUGGGUAUACCAACACAACCUAGAGAUAGAAAGAACAAUACUAAAUGGGCAUUAAUGAAUAGUGAAUAUUGAAAUACAUUCUCUUUUCUGUGCAUUGUCAUAUAUAACAACCCGUUUGAAAGCAUAAUAGGCGCUCUUUAUCUAAAUGCUCUCAAGGUAAUCUUUAACAAUAUCUUUAGUGUUAAUCUUCUCUUAAAAACAAAUCUUAAUGUUUCAAGAACCAAGCAUUCACUUGGGGAUUUUUGCACAAAGUUGAAUUAAAGUUCUUAUGGUUGAAAAUAAACUACUUAUGAUUUUUUUUUUUGGGAAGAAUUUAAAACCCUUGUGUUAAGUAAAAGUUAAUAGUGUUAAUUCCCCCAAAAUUUAUAGUCUAAAAGUAAACACCAAACUUUAUAAACCUUCCAUCAAGUCGAUUAUGUGGCCGACUUGGACGACUACAAAUUUUAGGCCACUCGCAUGCAUGUGGACCUUACUUUUGUUGUGAUAAAAAAAUAAAAAAUACAAGCCAUCAAACUUUAUAAACCUUCCAUCAAGUUGAUUAUGUGGUCGACUUGGACGACUACAAAUUUUAAGCCACUCACAUGCAUGUGGACCUUACUUUUGUUGUGAUAAAAAAAUAAAAAAGACAAGCCAUCUAGUCCAGCCCGCAAAUUGAGGAUUUUGACUGCCCAAUCCUACCUGUAUAACAUCCUAAAUUUUCCUUCUGGUUUUAGAAAUUAUUUUGUCACAUGAAAAUGAGAUUCCAACUAGAAAAAAAUAAAACAUUAUUAGCAUUUCAAAUAGAGUUAAUACCCUGAAAAAUCUCAAAAUGGUACAUCUGUGACAAAUUUACCCAAAAUUAUUUUUUUUAACCACAAAAAACCAAAAAUUGGUAUAUCUUUGACAAAUUUACCCAAAACUGAUACAUUUGUGACAAAUUUACCCUCUAUUAGUUUUAGUUAAAUUUUACUGUCAAAUUAUUAAGUUAAAUGACACGUAACAAUUUACUGGUAUACAAAUUUGGGAUUUUACGCUCCGUUUGUCAUAAUUUACAAUUUUUGUGAUUUUUUUGUGUGGUAUUAAUCCAAUUUAACGAGAGUAUAUUUUUCACAAAUUUACUAGUUUGAGGUUUUUUGCAAUCAAAUAAAUUAGUUUGGAGUAAAUUUGUUAUAAAUGUACCAGUUUAGAGUUUUUUUUAUGAUUAAUCGGGGUAGAUUUGUCAAAGGUGUACCGAUUUGGGGUUUUUUAAGGUAUUAACCCUUUCAAAUAUUGAUCUCAUGGGAAUAUAUAUAUAUAUGAUGACACAUUAGAUCCAAUGCACAAUGAAUUACGUAAAUUUCAUGAGUAUUUCAUUGUAAUUACAAAAGUGCCACUAGAUUGUUGAAAUAUUAGGGAUGAAUGGUUUUAGGCUCUAGCUUCUCAUUCUGUACAAGUUCUAACUAAAAUUUGAAAUCUACUCGUUAGAGCAAGUUUCUUAAGACUCGCAUGACAACCGUGCUAUUUCUAGCUAGAACUAUUUUUUUGUUUGAGAAAUAAGUUUAGAAUAAAAAUUUGUUUGAUAAUGCAAUUUUAUUUUUUAAAAUUUUUAGAACAAAAUUUUAGUCAAGAAAUAGGUUUGAAAUAGAAAUAAGAAGUAAAAGUUUUCCACUUUUCUAUUUUUGGAAUAGAAAUGAGCAAUAAAAAGGGAUAUGUGCAUUAGAAGUUCUAAUGUCACAACAGUGCAAUUGAGUUCUAAAGUUUUUAAAAAGUGCAAUUAAGUCAUAACACUUAUCAUGAAAGUGUAAUCGAGUCCUAAAAUUUUCAAAAAGUGUAAUAAAGUUUUGACACUUGUUACACUUUUGUAACAAGUUUUAUGAGUUAAUUGGAUUUUUUAAAAAUUUUAGGAUUAAAUUACACUUUCUCGACAAGAUUUAGGACUUUCAAUGCAUUUAAGAAAUAAAAACUCUUCUCAUUACUUGCUCUUGUUACUAGCCGGCCGCCCGCCCGUUGCUGCUCGCUCUCUACCACCAUUUGUUGGUUGCCAUCGCCACUGUUGGUCGCCAACCACUAUCGUUGAUUGCCAUCGCUGCCCAAGAAAGAUAAAUUUUAUGUCGUUAUCAAAUGAAAAUUUAUUCCAUGAAUAGAAAUUUUAUGUCGUUAUCAAAUGCUUAUUUUUACUUAGAAGCUCAUUUAAGAAUGUAAAUAGAUUUUUCUAUUUCUAUUCUAGCAAUCAAUUUUUGGCCAUGAAUAGUUAUCAUUCAAGUUCUUACUUUUUAGAAUUUGAAACCUACAUUGCAUAAUUUAGAACUUAGAACUUACCUUAUCAUAGGUUUCAAGUUCUACCUAGGCUUUACUUGUCUUAUUUAUUGAAUGAUUGCAAUGAGUUAUCAUAUUUAAUAGUCACCACUUGCUGAUUUAGACGCACGAAGAAUAUGUAAUAUUAACAAAGUAAAAGUCUUGAUCAUAAAAAAUAGAAGUUUAGACUAGUGGUUUCUGUGACAUCCCCCCUUCUCCCCCUCUCUUUUGUCCUCUUCCUCUCUCUCUCUCUCUCCUCUUUCUCCUCUUCUCCCCCCCACAUGAUUUCUCCCCCUUUUCUGCCAUCCAUCCCCCCUUCCCCUCUCUCUCUCUCUCUCUCUCUCUUCUCCCUUUUCCCCCUCACGUCACCUUUUGCCCCCCCUCUUUUUCUUUUUCUUUUUUGUCUUUUCUCUCUCCCUCUCUCUCAGCCGAACCCCCUCCUCCUCCUCCUCCUCCUCCUCCUCCUUAAGGGUGUGCAAUUGGACCGGCACACCCGAAAAACACGGUCGAGAAUUGGUUCUUGUUGAAAUCGGUCCGAGAACCGGUUCCCAAAAUUUGGAACCGAUUUAAACUGGUCUGGUAACCGGUUUCAAGUGAUUACCUACCCAGAAACCGGUUCCCGGACCAAUUUUGGAAUUGAUUUGGGAACUGAUUUUGUAAGUAGAGGUCCAAAACCCUACUGUUUUCUCUGACUUUUAUUUUUACUCCUACAAUCACACGGUAUUUUUCCUCUUAGCUCUCUCAAACAUGCACGACACUCCUCCUUUAUUGUUCCUCUUCCUCACUCGCAUCCCUCCCUCACCGACUCCCUCUCGCACCAUCUGACAAACGGACGGCAUUCGUUGCCGCCAAAUUCUUGUGUAUUACGUGGAUUGGCUUGCCUAAUUUCUCUUUUGUAGGAGGACUUAUGCUUACAUAAAUGAACAACUUCAUGUGAUAGUUACGGGAAUAAGAAUAACAUUAGACCCAUAUUUGUUGCUAAUAUUUAUGAAUGUUAUGAUUUUUGUUUUGCCUUAUGAUUUUAUUUAUGAUAAUUAGCCUUGUGGAUCCUUAAUUUUUUGUUUAGUCAAAAAGUUCAUGUAUUUAUUUAUUACAAGUGUUUAAUAUUUCAAUACAAAUUAUGAGGAUUACGUUAUUUUCUCGCGUAUUAAUGUAAAAUUUGAAGUCGGAUAGGAUAUUAGGAGGUUGCGAAAUAGGUUCUAGUGGAAAUAUGGUUGAUUGUGGAACCGGAAUGAAAAAAUAAUGUGGGUUGGAUACAUAGUCCAAUAUAAAUAGGGUCGGGUACAUGGUCCAAAAAUGGGGAAUCGGUUAUAACAGGGUUGGGUACAGGAUCUAGGUCUAGACCCUACCCACCCUGGAUCCGAUCACCCUUACUCCUCCUCCUCCUCCUCCUCCUCCUCCUCUUCUUCUUCUUCUUCUUCUUCUUCUUCUUCUUACUAGUUGUCGCUUCACCCACCACCACACCACCUGCGUUCGCUACUUGGAGUCAUGCCGUUCGCUAUCCUCACCACCAUCUUCACCACCGAGCUCCCAAAUCGCCGCUGUUUGCUUGACGCUGCCACUUGCUCGUCACUGCAAGCCACCGCUUGCAUCCCUCAUUCCAUUUACUGUGCCAUUGCCGCCAUCCACAAGCCACCCGCUCGCCGCCGUGAGCCACCCCCAAGCUGAGCAUUCACCCCCCCAGGCUGUGAGCUUCAAGAGCUGCCGCUGCCGCCAUUGAGCCUCCGGUUGAGUCACGAGUGUCACGUUCUUGAUGCCGUCGCGCCGUCGUCGCUAGAAAUCGAUGAGUUAACCUCCUAAUCAUGGAUUAGAGCGUUAAUUGCGUUUAGGAGUGGAUAGUUUAAUAUUAAUUGCGGUUAAUAUUAGUUAACCUUGGUUUUUUCUUAAUUGUGAUUAAGGAUUGUUUAGAUUAGUUUUAAUUGCGAUUAGUUUAAGUAAUUACGAUUAGAUUAAUUAAUCGUUGUUAGAUUAAUUAAUUGAGUUUAUUUUAUUUAAUCGUUAUUGUUAAGGAAAUCCCUUAUGAUGUUUUGAAGAUGACAAAAUAAAUCAAAGACUACUAACGUGUUUAAUUGUUGAGUAAUAGACUAUGUAGAUGAUAGAACAUGUAAAGGAUAUUAUCAAAGUUUAUACUUGGAAAAACCGGAAGACAGACUUUAUACUAGAGCUGAACUUAUUCAGACCGUGUUCAGACUUUAAGGGUAAAUCUAUUCAAAAGCAGAAUAUGUUAAGACUUACGUUCAUAUUGUAAAGUCUAUUUCGGACGAAAGAUAUUCAAACUCUACUUUAGACAAAAGACACUUAGACUUUACUUUCGACAGAACACUCUUAGACUUUACAUCCAGAACGAGACACAAGCCCAGAAUGUGACAAGGUCUAGAACGAGACACAAGUCCAGAACGUAGCAGAUUCAAAACGAAGUAUGUUCAGACCGAGACAACUUGAUAGAACGUAAUAUAAGCCCCAAACAUAUAACGGCUAGUGAUAUGGUUUGGAUUCUACAUCAAGAUAGAUUUGAUUGACUCAAUCUAAUUGAUUGGUAAUUGGAUCUUGAAGACAAGAAAUUUCUAAAUGAAGAAGCUCUACUUAUGGAAACCAAGAUUCUGUUUGUAUGGGCGAUCAGAAUCAAUUUGGGAUUAUACUUCUGUCACUCAACGGCUACUAAAUCUUCUAGAUACAGAUCUGUCCAAUGGGUAGUGUCACGCCCUGAUUCUCGGGCACGCACACAUCCUUCUACUUGGUCGAUGUUAGAAUGCGAUAUCCUAGGAUUAUGUAUUGCCGACCCUUUCAUUUUUAAUGGCGCAUGCAGAAGCAGUUGGAAAUCCCCAAACAAUAAAACAAUGGGAUAUAAAAGUAAUGCCAUAUUUUUAUAUUGAAAUCCACAACCAUACUUUUAUACAGAGCAUAACUCAAAAUACUUCACAAAAUUAUUCACAACUUUCUAGUCUCACUCUAUUCACAUAUUAACAGGGUUCACAAAAGAGGAUGGGAUAUUAGUCCUCAUCGGGGUCGUACUUAGGCUCCUCGUCUUCUUCAGACUAUUCUUUUAUCAGCUCCUCCUCAGCAUUUCCCCACUCCUCAUCCUCUUCUAGACCUUCCACUUCUUGUUCCAUGGUCUCACCUUCCUCAAAAUUUUCAUCCUCUACAGUGAAUAUUGGGGACAACGGCUUACUCUCAAGCGCAGGGUCUCUGGCAUCAUCUACGCCUCCACCCUCGAGGUUUGCAGUCCCCUCACCAAAAGCUUUCUCCAAGAUGUAGUGAGGUAUUUCCUCUUGAAGGAUGAGACCUAUUCUUCGUCCAUCAUAAUAGUAGUGAUACCAAGACCAAUACUCAUGGGGCCAUAGGUCGUCCUGGCCGACUUCAACCCACACUGUCGACUCAAUCAAAACGUAUUCUAAUCCUUUUGGAUGACCAUGAACAUGGAAGUGAAUUUCUUUCUCAGUGAUGUCUACUGGAAUGCCAAACUACUCUAGAGGAGGGGGAGGUACCGGUGCUACCAUCUAGGGGCCUGAAAUGGUUAUACAAUAACCAUUGAGAUUACGUCUCAGCAAGCUCUACCCCACUAAAACUCGAUUAGGAAACUAAUACACCACAUGGUUGCCUAAGCACAACACAAAUUAGAAGACUUACCUUGGCAUCAGUCCCAACUUGUAAUUCAGGGUUAUAUAUAGAUGCUUAAUAUAUAUAUAUAUAUAUAUAUAUAUAUAUAUAUAUAUAUAUAUUGUAUCAAACAAUCAAUCAAUUCACGACAUUUGAAUCAAAUCAUUGAUCAAUCGACUUAGUCGAUUACAUAUUAGUCGGACCAUUUCUAGGUCAUUUCCAAUCACAAAAUCAUACGUACUCUCUUGGGCAUCUUUUUCGCCAAUGUGAUGUAUGUAAUGAAUAGCACUUGUGCGUUCUUUAAGGCGCCGUUUUCACUAGUAAUAUCCUUAAUCACUGAAUCACGUAUGUCCAUAAUGAUGCAUGCGAUAGAUAGCACUCGUGCGUUUUUUAAGGUGCCGUUUUCACCAAUGAUUUCCUUAUCACCGAACCACAUAUGUCUAUAUUGAUACAGGUAAUAGACAUCACUCAUGCGUUCUUUAAGGUGCCGGUUUCACCAGUGAUGUCCUUAUCACCGAACCACAUAUGUCUAUACUUCGUACCUGAUCGGUCUCAGCCAAGAGUAUUUCCAAUUCACUCUUAUGAUUCUCUCCACUUUACAACUCAUCAAGCAUUGUAAAUGCUUAAUAACCAUACUCGGCCAUCUACCAAUCAAUCAUUCAAUUCCACUCAAUUUAAAUCAAUUUAAGAAUAAUUCCUCAAAUAUCACAAUUAAUUCAAUUCCAUGCAACGUAGAGCUCAAAUAAAUAAACGGAUUGCACCAAGAUAAUUAGUACGAAAUUUCGGUUGUCGGCUAUCCCUGCCUAAUUUCCGAAAAAUAAAUAAAUAAAUAAAUAAAUUUCGAAAAUUAAUAAAUAAAUAUUAAAAAUCCAAUUUAGGCCCGUAAUGCCUAAUUGAAGCCUGAUAAGGGUCGGGAAAAAUCCCAAUAUGCAUUCAAUAAAUAGUAUAAGCUAUCAUCGAGCUAAUUACACCAACCACCUAACUAAUAUGCAAUGCAAUUAACUAAUAAUCACUAAUCCAUUCUAAUCUAACCACCUAAUCCUAUUUAAUUAACACUAAUCAAUCCUUAAUCAUAAUUAGUCUACUAAGCAAGGAUUAGUGAGGUUACUCAUCGGAAUUGCGCGCAGGUCGGAUGUAACCGACGGGAAUGACACGAGGAUCGUUUCUUCCUAAAGCGGGCCUCGGGUUUGGGGCCCGAAACACCUCGAAAUGGCCCUUGAACAUAGCUGGAAACUCACUCUGCAACUUGCUGAUGAAGCUGCAAAACAGAGGAGAAAUGAGAUGGUUGGGGGCGGCAUAGGGUCGGGAAAGCAGGCGGUAGCUCGACGAGGUUGAGCGGUGGUCCACAGCGGCUGGAGGUGGUCAAACGGCGGCUGGACAGCUCCCACACGAGCCAAAGGAGCUGCUAGGCGUAGGGUCGGGUGGCGUGAGGCACUGGGUCGAGCGACAGUGUGUGGGCUGGGCAGCAGCGGCGAUCUGGCGCGACGGCGACGGUAGCUCCGGUUCCAGGCGACAAUGGCUACUGCUUCCGCUUUUGCUGGCUGGUACACAUGAACAAGGGAGAGAGAGAGAGAGAGAGAGAGAGAGAGAGAGAGAGAGAGAGAGAGAGAGAGAGAGAGAGAUCGCCAGCCAAGGGGGUGAGAGGGAGAAGAGAUAGUGUGACGGCCCAAGCGACGAUGCGCGGGAAAGAGGGAUGGCGGUGCAUCCAUGCCUCCAUCCCCAGACGUGCGCAAAGAAGGAGUCCCUCUCUUGUCCCACAUCACCUAGGGAGGGAGUCCUGGGUUAUCUUAUAAGGCUAUGGGUCCCUCUAACUGUACAUACAUGUUUUCUUGGGGUAGUAUGGACUGCCUCGAGAGGAACAAAAUUGUGAGGACUUAGUGUCCAAAGUAGACAAUAUGUGUACAGUGGAGACCCAAGAUGUUACAAAUGGUAUUAGAGCCGACUCUCGACCGCGUGUGGGGCCACAGCGAGGACGCUGUUCUGUUAAGGGGUGGAGAGUGUGACAGCCCAAGCGACGGUGCAUGGGGAAGAGGGAUGGCGGUGCGUCCGCACCUUGGUCCCCAGACGUGCGUAAGGAAGGAGUCCCUCUCUUGUGCCACAUCGCCUAGGGAGGGAGUCCUGGGCUAUCUUAUAAGGUCAUGGGUCUCUCUAACUGUAAAUACGCGUUUUCUUGGGGUAGUAUGGGUUGCCCCAAGAGGAAUAAAACCAUGAGGACUUAGUGUCUAAAGCGGACAAUAUGUGUAUAAUGGAGACCUGAGAUGUUAAAGAUAGAGAUGAGUGAGAUAGGGACUCCACUUUGUCCAUUUUUUUCCACCCUUGCUCCCCAAGUUUCAAGCUAAGCCAAGUAUUAUGCCCUAGCCUUCCUUUGGCCACACUAACACCCUAAAUAACUUUUCCAAUGGUCCAAACUUGACUAGGGUAUGGGGGAUUACGAAUUUUGAAGAAUAAGGCUCCAAUUGGAAUUAAUUCCCUCUUGAUUCUCUCUCAAUCGGCUCUCAUAAAGUUAAUUGAUGUCCCAUUUAUCAAAUCGAUAAUUUUCCUCAUCCAAAAAUUCCUCAUGCUUCUCAAUUUUGCAGCCAAAAUUAAACCCCGGCUUCAACUGAACAAAAAUGGCUCUAAACUGACUUUUUUCCAAAAAGUCUCGGUUGUCAGAAAAAUUUUCUAAGACUGAGUUGUGGGUCCUAGAAUUUAUUAUGACAUGACAGAAUCUUUAAUUUCUGAAAUCAGACUUGAAUCGGCAGUUAAUUUCCAUUUGGCGCGUUUUUAGCGUGACUUAGAUUACGAGGUAGUUUUCAGAACUUUUUAGGGCAAAUGACCCAUGGUCAAUUUUCUUCGAAUCAUUAUGAACCCACUCGACUCAAUGGCAAUUCUUGAUUGUCAUGAAAAUUUUGAGGAUUCAAUUACGGACACAGGGUGCCAAAACGACAGUAAAAUCAGGUUAGUAUUGAUCGACGAGAAUUUUCCAAUUUAGUGGAGUCACCCACAAUCGACCACAUAUCUCAGUCGAACAGACCUAUCUCUGAUCUCAAAUUGAUUUUUAAGCGUGUUGUAAUGGCCUCCAAAGAUAAGCACGGUCGAGAAGCCGACUCCUGAUUGAAUUAUCAAGUCUAUUGCCUUAAAAUUUCUUAAUGGCUUACCCUGACAGUCUAGUUAUCUCAAGAGUGAUCGGCUCUGAGAAUAACCCUAUAAAUGUGUCAAUGAAAUACCCGAUUAAUUCAGUAGAAAACAAGUUUAAAAAUUCAAGAUGUCAUAAGUAGAUUGGAAGACAAUCCUUUAGAUACUGUCCAACGGCUAAUUUGGAAGUGGAUGAGUAUUUAAGGAGAUCAAGGAGUAAUGAGCAAGUAAGAGACGGAGCGUAGAAUUUAUUAUUCCAAAAUCCAAGUGAACUUCGAUCAUACGCUUAUCUUUGGUGAGCUUAAACAUUUGUGAUUGUGAGAGAAAUACCAAAAGAGUGACUUAGUGAGAUAGUGUGAUCUACCACUAAGUGUUUGCACUCAAAUUUGUAAUCUCUUGUUGAUUACAUAGUGGAAUCCAGCUAAAAGGCUGUUAGCGUGGGAGAGUGGACGUAGGCUUGAUCUAAGUCGAAUCACUAUAAAUUUCGUGUGCAAUAUUCUCUUUCCUUCAUUCUUCAUAUUUAAAUUUGUUGCAUACUUACAAGUUAUUUCAGAAGUCUGUUUUAUCACAUAACAAAUUUUGAACAUUUACCAGAAGUCUGGUGGCUCGUUUAUUAGACUCUGAUAUUUAUUCAGAUUUUGCUCACAACUUAUUUUAUUCCGUAUUUAUUUGUUAAGAUUUCUUUUAAACACCUAUUCACCCCCUCUAGGUAUUUGUACUAGUACUUUCAAUUAUUUAUUUAAUAACUUCGAUUAAUUUGUAAUUAAUUAUAGUUAAGCAAAUUAAUCCAGUUUAGUUUAAUUAAUCAUAAUUAGCUUAAUUAAUCGUGAUUAGCUUAAUUAGUUGCGAUUAGUGUAAAUUAAUGACGAAUUAGCCAUUAAAUAGAAUUUUAUGCUCGUUCUACUAAAUGAAUUUACACUUGAUUCUAAUCGUUUGAGCAUGUAAUACCAUGAUGUAUGAUUGCUCAUAUCAAUGUAUUUUAAAUGCUAUUUUUCAAAGAUGAUUUAUUGGUAAGAAAAUAGCAAACUUUGAGGUGUCAUGUUUGGACUCUGUAUUUUACGUAAUAAAAGGGGCAAUGAUGCUUUAAAAUGAAAGUGUGCAAAAUUUGAUGGAUUGAUUUUAAAUACAUGACCACAUGCGAUUUAUUUUAUCGGAAUUUUAAAUGUAAAGAUUUUCCGAGGUUUGUUAUUUAAGCACGAACUCUUUUACACUUGGCUAAUUGACAGAAAAAUAGAAAUUGGCUUAAGUGUUGGCGUGCUUGUGUGGUCAUUUAAUUGAACCCGUCACCCAACGGGAGUUUGGGGACGAUACCCGAUGUUUAUCAGAUGCCCGGCAGGGGUCUGGAUAUUGAGUUGCAGUUGAGGUUGGACCGAUGCUCCUUUUAGGAAUGCCAUCUAGGUGAGGGUUCUAGACGAUGCCGUGCCCGAUAGGGCGGGACGAUGCUCGAUCAUCUCGGAAGACCACCAACUCGUGUGUUGGCCGUGACCCAAGAGGUCAUAAUAAUUGGAACAUAUGUGAAUGAUUGUGAUGCAUUGCGCUUGAUUAUGGGGUAAAACUAUUAGGCAUGGUAUGUGACGUGCCAAAAUGGGUUUUACCUUAUAAUCGAAUCGGGACUCGUGUGGAUGCUUGGUGUAUGAGAGUUAUGUGUUUUGACUAUUAAUUAUGCUUAUUGUAUUAAUAAUGACAUAUCUGACGUACUAAUAUGCAGGGGUGUGCCAAGGCAAGGUAAGAUUGUAUGCCGUUGCAUGAUUAGGCUACCUCUAUACGAAUUUGUGUCAUAAUCGAGGUUUAGGAAGUUGACUCGCUAAGAUUUUAUCUCACCCCAUUGUUGUUAACCAUUUUCAGGGCCGUAUCGUGGAGGUCUGCUGAGUGCGGAUGUGGUGGGCAUGAGAUGCGACACUUUUUGGCAGGCCUUGCCGUUAGUGAAGCUAGAGUUAACCCUGACCUUUCUGACGCCUUUUUGCUCAUAAGUCGUGUAGGAGUUAUCUUUUGUUGUAGAUCUGUAAAUGUUACUUUCCUUGGGUUAACAAGUGGAUAAGCAAAGGUGCGUUUUUUUUUUUUGGAAAUCGUUUGUUAUGUUUUACUAUCCAUGUUUUGAUGAUUGACUGGGUGUUUAUUUAAGUCGCUUCCACAUGUGUUUAAUCGAAAGAUAAAAAUAAUGGGUCGGCGACGAAUUCUGAGAUGUUGCAAUUUAAUCGAUCGCCGAGGGAUGUUCGCGCGCUCGGGGUUCGGGGCGUGACAGUUUCAAAUUAUACACUUAUCAUUUCAUGUCAUGGAAUACCAUAGUAAGGCACGAAGACAUAGACAAAGAAAAAUACAAAAAAAAUUGUUUAUGGUUUCAGAUUCUAGGUUUCAGGUUUCACCUAUCUAGAACCUAGAACUUGCUCAUCGAAAUAAGUUCUCUAAUUUUUAGAACCUAGAACUUACUUUGUAUAUCUUGGAAUCUGUAAUCGGACAGAUUCCUAUCAGUUCGAUUCUAUCCUAAAACCAUGCUUACUCCUAUGAAAUUUUACGAUAGUGCCAUGGGUGGCAAGAUAACUAUAUACUAAAAAUGCCCAAAAUGUCUUUAGGACACAAAAUUUUAACUAAAUCUAUUUAUGAGAAUCAUAUUUAUUCACAUGAUCAUUGAUUUUACUUUCAAAUCACUUUCUUGGUGUCUAUGAGACAACUUAGGGCCUGUUUGUUUUCACUUUUUUCUGUUUAAAAACAUUUUUUUUUUUGUUUUUUUGGUUCCUGGGAACAAAAAAUGAACAAAAACGCGUUUGUUUGCGUUUUUGUUCUAAAUCUAUUUUUUUGUUCUCAGAAACACAUCUGGAACAGAAACAAGAAACAAAAAAAAUUUGUUUCUUGUUUCUGGAACAAAAUUUGGAACACUUUUUCUCUCUCUUCCAUUUUCUUCUCUCUUUUUUCUUCUUAUUUUUUCUUUCUUUGGAGCGUCGCCGGCCCUCGGCGAGGCCGAGUGUCGCCGACCUCACGUUGGGUUGGCUGAGCUCGAGCCUCACCUAGCUACGGCGAGGUUCGGCCUUGCCGGGGGCCGGCGAGCCUCGCCGUGGCUGGGCGAGGCCGUCGGCCCUCAUCGGCCGGUCGCCGGCCAUGGCCGAGGCCGAUGACCGGCCAAAAGAAGAAAAAAGAAAAAAGGAAAAAGAAAAAAGAAAAAAGAAAAAAAAGGAAAAAUAAAUAAGAAAAAAAGAAAAAUAAGAAAGAAAAUAGAAAAAAUAAAAUAAAAAUAUUAAAAAAUUAAAAGAAAUAAAAAAAUUAUACAAAUUUACCAAACGUGUUUCUAUUAUUUUUAUAUUUCUGGAACAGAUUUACUAAACGCGUUUUUUUGUUCAAAAAUUGUUUCCUGAAACAAAAAUACUUUUUUUAUUUAUUUAUUUCUGUUCCCAGAAACAAUUUUUAAACAUAAAUGUUAGCAAACACACCCUUACUAGCUACUCUGAGAAAUAUUUUAUCACGGUCAACAUAAUUAGCUACUCAUUACUCAUUUAUUUUGUCGCAUCUACUUCAUUUUCAACCAUAUAUUUGAACUAUGCAUCGCAUCAUGCAUGACUUUUUUUUUUUUUUAAUAACUCUAGCCCAUUAUUACUUAUAUGAUUGCAACUCAAAUCAAACUCCUCAUUUUUGCAGUUGCCUCGGUCGGAUCAUGCUCUUUCUCCCCCUCUCAUAGCCUAGGUAGCACGGACACGUUGUCCGUGCUUCCGUGUCGUGUCCGACACGUGUCGGAGCGUGUCGGACACGGUCGGGACACGCGGUCAACGCGUGUCAAAAAUCCGACGCGUGGUCAACGCGUGCCCGACACGUUCCGACACGCGUGUCCGGAAGAUGAUGGAGGGUGGAAGCGACGGCGAGGGAGUAGAGACGAGGACGCAACGGCGAGAGACGGCUGCCACUGUGAUGCUGCGAUGGAGCCGACGAGGUUGCAGCCGUGAGGGAGAAAGGGCCAAAGGCGAGAGGAAGAGGAGAGGAAGGUGGUCGUGCGGCAAGCGGCGAGAGGCGACGAGCGGCGAGCGGCGAGGAAGGGGGUCGUGCGGCGAGCGGCGAGAGGCGACGAGCGGCGAGGAAGGGGGUUGUGCGGCGAGCGGCGAGUGGCGAGCGGUGAGGAACGAGAAGAGGAAGGGUCGUGCAGAGCUAGGGUUUUGAGGGGCCAUCGCGUAUUGGGGGAAGGGGAAGAGACGGAGGGGUUUUUGAUGUUGCGUAUUGGGGGAGGGGAAGAGACAGGGACAGCCUGUCUGUCAGUGAAGGGGAGGGAAAGAAAAAUAAAUUUUGGGGGGGGGGGGAACGGAUGAUAGUAGGGAGGGAAAGAAAAAUAAAUUUUGGGAAAGGGGGAAAAUGGACGAGGGAAAGAACUAGAAGGGGGGGGGGGGACCUUAGUGGAUAUUUUUUUUAAUGGAAAAAUAAAUAAAAGAGAUUAAAAUAUAAUUUCAAAAAAAAAAAAUAUUGAAUUUGAAUUAAAUUAAUUAAAAAUAAAAAUAUUCAUUUAAUAAAUAACGUGUCGGAACGUGUCGGAAUCCUCUAUUUUUUUAAAAAUAACGUGUCACGUGUUGUGUCGUGUCGUGUCGCGUAUCGUGUCGCGGUGUCCGUGCUACCUAUCUCAUAGCCACUUAUCACUCAUUUAUGUUGCCAGGUUUCCUCAGUUUCCAAACGUAUGUUUUAAUCAUGAGAUUGCAUCAUGAAUGACAUCAUGGAUGAUAUAUUAUUCUAACACAAGUUAGUUCAUUAUGAUUAUUUGCAGUUCUAGUUUGUUUAUAUCUAGUCUUUGUAACUCUAAUUAGUUUUAACAUGACCGAUUCUGAGGGGUGCUUGCUACGUGAUCAUUGUUGGGAUUUGUUCCCGGCGAUUCUCUUCCCCCUAGGCUUACUUUGCUUUCGCUACAGCAAAGUGAAGUGCUAUGCAAGAGGAUUGAAAGUGCUACUUGCUCAGUUUGCCGGAACUCACUGCUCCGGUCAUGACGGCGGGUUUCAUGUUGUGUUCGGGCUUCCCUGGUGCUUAAAUUUCGUGUAUGAAACUAGAAGCCACUUGACGGUUGUUAAGAGUCCUUUUGUUUCAUUCCUUUAGCUGAAAGAGCUCAAGAUUGUCAGAAAAACCAGACAAAUUGGUUUUACUCGGCUUGAAACCAAAGGCCAUGAUAAAGAGGUCAAUCAAAUGUACAAGGAUGAGAUGAAUGACUUCCAGCGUUUACUUAAAAGGACACGAAUGGAUACUUCCAAACCAUAAAAGUCCAGUUACAGUACAUAUCUGUAACCAAAUUCAUCAGUAGAGUUGCCACUGUUUGGGCAGAAGUCCCUCUGUCAAUGAAGCCCUUGUGCCACCCUAAUUCACAGAUGCAAUCUCUCUCGAGGAGCUUCAAACCGAUGUCAUUUCGAGUCUUGAUUGAGACCGCCUUGAGAAACAUAUCCCUUUUAGCGCUUCAUCAAAUUCGUUGUCUUCGACUUAUCAUCUUAUUUGAACUCAUCAUCCUCAUGAGAAGGGUCAUUUUUUUCUAUUAGUAGUACUCUCGUUCCUUCUUAAAUUGCUGAAGCCAAGAUAUUUUCAACUCCUUAAGCAAAGAAAGAGCACGAGUCAUGUCCCAAAAACCAACUGCUGCUAUAUUUUUCUGAAUACAGGACAUGAAAUGCACACCAGAACCAACUGCAUUUGCAAAAUGCGAUCAAAUCCCAACACUCACUAUCUCACAAACUUCCAAUAAGUAGAUAGAAUCCAGUAUUAUAUAGCUAUCCUAGUUACAAAUAUGAGAGGAAAGGAAUUCCUCAAUAUAUACUGGAUCUGAUACAACAGGUAAGUACUAAGCGGUGGGAGCGUAUUCAGGCUAUUUUUCGGUAGAGUCACAGCUCUACUUACUUCCCCACUGUUGCACAUCCAUUUCGGUCAAGGAGAGAUGACAUACUGCGCAAAGGCAUUCGGACUUAUUCCUCGAUAACCUCUAGAUUCGUGUUCCAGAGUCCCCGCACGGUCCCAGCUUCCCCUGAACCGGAGGAAACGAAAGGAUUUUGUGGAAUGACAGGGCACUCUUCUCCCUCCAGCAUCUGAACCACCACUUUCAUGGGAGGCCGAUCGGCCGGGUACCAGUGAAUGCACCAGAGCCCUAUGAUUGCCAGUUUCCUGGCAAUCUUAUGGUCGCCGUCCUCUCGGAUUCGUAUUUCAAUCUCUUCACCUUUAUUCAGAUGGUUAUAGACCCACUGCGGGAAGUACAUCUGGCUCAUGUUCUUUGCAUUCACAUCCAUGUUUUUUCUCCCCCCGACCAUUUCGAGCAGCAGCAUUCCGAAGCUAUACACGUCCGACUUAGAGGACACGCUUCCGAAGUUCCUGGAGAAGACUUCUGGGGCGAUGUAGCCCAUGGUACCUCUGGCUGCAGUCAUGGACACCGCACUUUGUUCCUUGGAACAUAGCUCUCCCAGACCGAAAUCCGCAAUGUUAGGAUUGAAGUUGUCAUCCAGCAAGAUAUUGUGCGGCUUGAUAUCAAAAUGGAGGAUCUUAUGAUCACACCCCUGGUGAAGAUACUCUAUGCCUUUGGCCACUCCAAGAGGGAUGUCAUGGAGCCUCUCCCAGCUAAGGAAAGGAUCGAGAGUGUCUUCGCCCUGAAAUAUGAACUUCUCCAGAGACUCGUUCGCCAGGAACUCGUACACCAAGGCUCUUCGGAAACCGUCAGCGCAGAAACCCACCAUGCGAACCGCGUUGACGUGGUGAAUCCUUCCCAUAGUGCUCACUUCGUUGAUGAACUCCUAUUCAUUCCCGAACGAAUUGUCCAGCAUCUUCACGGCGACAAAAAUCUCGCUCGAAAGCUUCCCUUUGUAGACCGUUCCGUAAGACCCCUGGCCUAGUUUCUCCUCGAAGUCAUUGGUUAUCCUCUUGAUGUCGUUGUAGGAGUAACGUGUGGGCUUAAGGGCCUCAUAGUCAUGCAAGAAGCUCUCGACCUUGAGUUGGAAUGCUUUAUCUCUUCUUCUUUCGUUGAGGACAUAUCCGAGUCCAAUCAAUCCGACAAGAAGUAAUAACGGGCCCACGACGCCUCCGGUGAUCUCUAACUUUAAUAUUGCUGCAGAAUCAGAGAAGUUAGUAUUCGAGCUUCCGCGGAAGUUCAUAUGAAUGAUAAAAUAACUCGAAGAAAAAGCCGUCAAACUAGUUAUAUCAGCUUCUCCACUAAAAUACGGUGAGCGACCUUCACUUCAGGGCAUCAGAUAAUUAUAUAUAACAGGAUUCAGAACUCCAUUCAAUUCCAAGUACAAACAGUAUCAUGCGAAAUAAGACUAACUUAAUUGCACGUAUAAACGUAAUCUUGUUUAGAAACUAUGAUUCUCCUUCCUCUGCGCUCCUGGAUCUUAUCUUAGCAAAAGAGAAAUUUGAUGAAUUUCGACAACCGUAAGUCAAAAAGCAACUUUGCUAUAUCUCACCCGACUUUGAAAUCUCUGGAAUGUAUUUCUUAAAUAAAGUAAGCAAGCGUUAAGAAUCACUUAAACGAAAGAAAGUGAAAUAUCAGUCUCGGGAAACAUAUAAAGUUUCGGAACCGAACGCACGGGCCUUCGACUAGUAUUAAAACGAUACCGGGGUGUCCACGAGGAGGUGGAUUGCAUGUGAUGUUGCUCCCGUCCCAUCCACACAACCACCCGUCCUUCGUGCAUUCCUACAGUCCGGCUCUUUCCAGUCGAAACGAGCAUCGGGGAUCAUGUACUCAAUCGCGUUCGGCAGUGAGUUGAGGCUCCUGAUCUUCUCGCAGUACACCAGCGGCAAGUCUCCAAUAGACCUGGAGGAUUUAACGGCGUAUACUUUGUACGACCCGGGCGCGCUUAGGCAAUCUACCUCGGUCAGGUAAUUCCUGUCUGGCGGUGGGCACUUGAACAGGGUGUAGUUGUAGGAAUUCUCGUACGAGUACGGGUAUUUGAACGCGUAGAAGCCAAGGUGGUGGAGGUCCCAGAUCCGGAAGGGAAGGCAAUUGAUGGGGUCAUGCAGGACGACGAACUGGGAGACGUAGUCGAUGUCCUUGACGACUAGCGAGGCGUUUGGGACCGAGAGCGCAGUCUGCCCAUCCUGGUUGCAGAACAGUUUGAAGCCUGGGUAGCCGCACUCGGGACCAUGGCUGCCUUCGAGCCAGAACGGGAAGUGGACCGGCGGCCCAUGGGAGCACCCUCCGCGGGGGCAACGGUCCAGGGUAGGAACGUGGCCGAGGUCUUUGGUGCCAUGGGCGAAGCAGAGGAGGAAGAAGAGGAGGAGAGACGGAAUCGGAGAGUGCAUGGAGGAGAUGUGGUGGUGGUGUUGACGAAACUGAGGUGUUAUGCGAGUUGUGCGGUUUCUUGUUAUUGAUAAUGGACCCCGACUGGUUCCUUGCAUUUUCCUUCUCUUGGAAUAAGACCUGUUUGCUCCCGUAGCUUUGUUCAUUCAUGACCAGGAAUGGUCGCUGGUUUUCAUUUCUCGUCUCUCGGGCAACCGUCUUUGUCACGGCACGAUAAAUUAUUCUUUUACUGAAUUCCAAUCACAAACUUGGGUUGACGACGCGAUGCGGACAAAUGUUAAGAAAAAGAAAGGUUAAAAAAUCUCUCUUCCUCUGCUCCGUUAGCAGCCACCGGCGGUUUCCGGGUUUCUGAAUUGCAAAACCUCCCCCUUGCCGUCGCUGCCAGCGGAGUUGCCAGUGCCACGUCUGAGCCGAGCCACCUCUAGAGCCAUGGGUGAUGGAGGAGGGUGAGAAGAAGGAAGACAGAAAACAUAAGACGACAGAAGCUUGCGGCCACGUCUUCUGAGGCCUCAGUACCUUUUGGCUUAUCCUCGGCCAAAAGAUCCACUGUUCUUUUUUUACUCCAUGAUGUUGGCAAUACAAUGUUAUUUAGUUGAUUCCGCAUAUUCUUGAUUGAUUAUAUUUGAUAUUAUGUUUAUCUUGUUAUCUUUAAUAAUCCUCAUUAUAAAUAUAUCGAAUGACAUAGAAAUUUCUCAAAUUCGUCUUGCGCUUCUUUAUGCUCGACUACGUUGCCAUGGAUGAUGGAGAGCAAAGCAGCCUCUUCGUUAGCAUCUCUUUUCCCAGCAACUUUUAUUAGAGUUCACGAAUCACGUCUGGAUCUCCUCUAUCAAGCGCUGAGCGACGGCUUGUCUCGUCCAGAGACGAAACCAAAGACCCGACAUUGAUCGACAGCCAGAAGAAUGAACCUCCUCCCUCGGCUCAUCUAAAUCAAAGAAAAGUUGACUUUGACCUGGCUUUUCUCCCGGGGCCCUUCUGUUGUCGGUUUGCGUCCACCGCCCUAACGCGCUAUCAUUGCUGAAGUGAGCGCGCGCGCAGCGACUUCACCCGGUCAAGCUCGAACUCGCGAAGCAAGUUCCCCCGCCCUUCUUUUUCUUCGUCCGACCAUGCUUGGGCUCUGCUGCUGACCGAACCCCCUUUCGAUUUCGAAUGAGAAUUCUCUAAGAGAGCUAAGCAUGCCUCGGUAAAUCGCCAAUGAUGCGCGUAAUCGAGCUAUUAUAACAUGACAUUUAGAAGAAGGAUAAAAGAAAAAAAAACAAUUUCGUUUCUAGUCCCCGACAGACAUGCGUGAGUACGGGGUGAGUUCGAUUUCGCGCAUCAGCAAGUGGGACAAGCGUUAUCUUGGCGACGAGGGUGUAAAUAGGUUUAAUGAAGUUCAAAGAAGCUUAGUCCGUUUGGUACUUAAGUGGCUCAAAUUUGAGCCUCUAUCAAAUGGAAUGUACAGGUCUUUUGGUUUGUAUCAAUGUACUGAUUUCAUCUAUUUAGAAUUAUAAGUUUAAUGUUUUAGGCCCUUUUAAGGUUCUUGCCUCCAGGCCAAAUUGACCGUGUUUUCCCAACCUGGUCCUUUUUGUAAAAAAGUGUCUCAGAUUCAAGUGUGGCUACUUUCUUUUAUGGCAUGAUGUUUGUUUUCGCGAUCAAGAUUGCUAUAAACUUCUCUUUCAAUAGCAAUUCCCUAAAUUAAAGUAGCUAAAGACAUUUAUCAGAUUCACCAUAUACUCAUGCGUAGUCUUUUCAACUUUCAAAAUUCAUUAGAAAGCUUUCUCAACGGUGGAUGUAUAGCGAAUGGUUUCAAAUUCUCUCACUUAUGCUUGCGUUGAGCAAAAUGUUUUCCUUCUUAGAGAAGGCUAAUUUACUCUCCAAUUUUGCAUGGUCCAUCCGGUUUGUCGACCGGAUGUUUGAAAGAUCUCUAUAUUCAAGACUAAAAAUAUUUUGGUUUUGAAAGAAAAAAUUAUGCAAAUGGACAAUUAUUGUAAGGGUCUUGUUAAGAGAGCACUCAACGUGAACAUAUUGGGGAAAAUUAAUACGUGGGUAUGCCCAAAAGAGAUAUCGAUGAAGUGAUUGAGAUAGCUCAUUGGUUCCGCACUCGAGGACAAAACGUGCUGAAGAGGGGCACUGUGUGAUGUACGGUUAACUACAUUUUUUUUUUUUAACCAACGGUUAACUACAUUGAAGAGGCUAUUUGGCACUUGCCAAACAAUGUUUGUUUCCGUUCUUUUGUUCUCGGGAGUAAUUUUGAAACAGAAUCAUGUUUGGUAAAAUUUUUGUUCUUGGGAACAGAUUUGGAGUAGAAUCAAAAAUAAAAAAAAGUUGAUUCUUGUUCCAGAGAAUAAUUCUAGAAUCAAACACCUAUUUUUUCUUUUCUCUUGUUCUUCUUCUCUUUUUCUUCUUCUUCAUAUGUUGCCACCGCCACGAUUGCCAUUCGCUGCCAUCCGCCAGCCGCUGCCGCCGGUCGUCGGCAAUGGGUUCAGUCGCCUAGCCACCAGCAAGGCUCGCCCAGCCCGACGAGGCUUGGCUGAGCCAUGCCUAGUUGCUGGCGAGGCUCGGCCUACGAGGGCUAGCCUCGAUGAGGGUUGGCGAUACUCCCGUGAGGUCACCGCCCCUCGUCUAGCCGGUCGUCGAUCAUUGCAAGGCUGACAACCGGCGACUUGAAGAAGAAGAAGAAGAAUAAGAGAAAGAAAGGAAAGAAAAAAAAGGAAAAAAGUAAUAAAAUUAUUUGAAAAUUUAAAGAAAAUGAAUUGGAGUAGAAAUUUUGAGCACGGUAUGAAACACAAUUCUAUUCCGAGAAUUGAAAUUUUGGAUAGUUACUAAAUGACUUAAAAUGCUUAAAAAUUGUUCCUGGAAAUAGAAUAAAAAAGAAUAAUUUCUGAUAAUAAAUUAUUUUCGGAAACAGAAGCGUUACUAAAUGCGCCCCAACUUGCAAUUAUAAGGAAAUGAAGUGCAUGGAUUGGAAAUUACAUGAAAAGUGAAUGCAAGGAAUUGAAAGAUACAAUGAAAAGAUGGAACCUUGGUGUUGUUGACUUCUUAGACCAAAUAACUACCAUCUAAUCUUCCUAGCCAAAAGAAAAUAAAAAUAAAAUUCCAUCUAUUCUUUCUUUGGUCAACAAGUUAAACUUGCAACGAAUCAACUCUUUUUCCUUCACCUCCACCUAGCAUCAUUUCUCCAAAGUACAGGUGUGCUUACCAUAUUUUCAUCAAAUUCCAACAACCUAUAUACUUAUAAGUAUGUGAAUGCACAUUAAUGAAUGUUUGAGAAUGGUUUCCAAAUCCUCUAAGCUAUGUCGGUGUCAAGUAAAAUGUGUUCCUUCUUGAAGAAAGAUGAGUUUUAUUCAUUCUAAUUUUGCAUGGCAUGUCCAAUUUGUCGAUAGGAUGUCUAAAAGACCUCUAAAUUGAGAUGAAAGAUGCAUUGGUUGUGAAAAUGAUAAUGUAAAUGGACAAUUACGAUUAUAAUCUUAUUAUAAGUUAUCCAAGAGCAUUCGGAUAUUACUAUGUUGGGAAAAAUCCGUUUGUGGGCAUGUUAAAAGAGAUAUUGAUGAAAAUCGACGUUCCUCAAGAAUAUCUUGAAAAGCUUGCACGUACGCUAUAUGUGUGACCACAUCGAAACCGUCCCUCAUUUUUGCGGCAUUUUCCCUGGACUGCUUUGCAACCCGUGCAAAUGACCUGGAGCCUUUUGAUGGGCAUCGUUGCCCCUUUGUCCCUCGAGUUCCCAUUAUGCACCGACUUCUUUGACCAAAUUGCUUUCCUCUAGUCUGCGGUCAAUAAGUCAAACUUGAAUUAAAAAUCUUUUCACCAUUUAAAAAAGUUUUAGAUAUAAAUUAUUGUCGAUUAAACAUUUUCCAUGAAUUAAUUAUUUCAAGCAGUAAGAUAAGUGAGAAAUUAACUUUUCAAAUUAUUCAUUAAUCACGAAACAAACACUAACGGACUCUUAAUUUAUUUUCAUCAAAUCGAUUCAUUUGACAAAGUCAACACAUAGUUAAGCGGUUACCAACAACUUAUAUGCUUAUAUUAAAAGUACACAGCGAAAAUGGCUAUACUAACACGACCUAGGAAUAGAAAGAGCAAUACUAAAUGGACAUUAAUGAAUAGUGAAUAUUGAAAUAUAUUCUCUUCUUCGUGUGUUAUUGUAUGUAACAAUACAUUUCAAAGCAUAAUAGGCGUUUUUUUUUUAAAUCAAAAUAUUGUCGAGGCAAUUUGUAACAAUAUAUUUAUCGUAGGAGAAGUACACUAUUAGUAUCAUAAGUUGUGUACGACAUUCACUUUGGUGCCAAAAGUUUCCAUCGGAUCACUUAAGUGCGAACAAAUUUGAAAAAUGAUCAUUUCAAUGCCAACGCUGAUGAAAUUGGCUGGAAAUCCAACGUGACACUUUUUUAUUAAUUUUUGAAGCCGACGUCGCUCGUCGAAGAGUACAGUCAGCCAUCCAAACAACAAAACUACGCCGUUUCGCGUCUUUCCCUCAACUUAGAAACCCUAAAUCCCCAAAUUGAGAGAGAGAGAGAGAGAGAGAGAGAGAGAGAGAGAGAGAGAGAGAGAGAGAGGGCACAUCGUCUUCUUCUUCCUCGAAAACCAACACCAGCAGCGGCACUAGCAGCAGCACCAGUAGUGGUACCAACAACGACAUUAGCACCACCAGCAGUAGCAGUAGCGCACCAGCGACACCUUCAACCCCUCUUCUUCCUCCUCCGCCUCCUCCUCCGCCCUCGCUUCAUAUUCUUCCUGCCACUUUUUGCUUGAGCAACAAUCUUAAUCUCUCAUUGCUCACCUGGUUGAGCAACUACAAUGGUGGCGAAGCGAUGGUGGGCGAACGACGGUGGCUGAGCGGCGAGCGGCGGAAACCCUAAGUUCAAUCCCCGAAAUCCUAAUUUCAAUCCCCAUCAGCUAUACGGCAUCGUUUCUAUGAGGAUGUCCAUGUAUAACGGCAAAACGACGUCGUUUCUUGAGGAUGAUGGAAAACGACGUCGUUUUAAAGCCACCGCGACUUUUUUUAAAAAUAAAAUAUAAAAGCCAUGUAAUUAAUCUGGCCGGAAUCUCUCACCAGUGACACCAAAGUGAUCGUUUUUUCUCCAAUUUGGCACUUAAGUGAUCUGACGGAAACUUUUGACACCAAAGUGAGUGCCGUACAUAACUUAUGGCACUGAUAGUGUACUUCUCCCUAUUUAUCGUUAAUUUACUCUUGAAAACAAAUCUCAAUGCUUUGGAAACCAAGCAUUCACAGAUUUUUGCACCAAGUUGAAUCAAAUUGCUUAUAAGUUGGGAAUAUUUUUUUUUUCAGAAUAUUUUAAAAACUGUGUUAAGUAAAAGUUAAUUCAAUGUAAAUGCCCAUUCUAUAAUUAUAGUCUAAAGUGAAAAUCAAACUUUUAUAUAACUUCCAUCAAGUCGAGUAUGUGGUAAGAUAUGGUGCUAACUUGGAUGACUAAUAAUUGAGGCCACUCACAUGCGUGUAAGCCAUCGUUCUGUUUUGAUAAUGAAAAUGAGUAAUACCAUGAAAAAUUUCAAAUUAUUACAUUUUUUGACAAAUUUAUAUCAAACUAAUUUUUGGACUAUAAAAAAUCUAAAUUGGUAUACAUAUGAUAAUUUUACCAUCAACUAAUUUUUUGAAUAUUAAAAACUUCAAACUAAUAUAUUUGUGACAUUUAACCCUUCGUUAAUUUUAAUAUCAAGAAAAACUAUGAACACGUGUUAUCUAACUCAGCAAUUUGACGAUAAACUUUAACAGAAACCGACAGAGGUAAAUUUGGCAUUAGUGUACUAGUUUGAAAUUUUUUAUAGUUAAAAAAUUAGUUUGUGAUAAAUUUGUCACAGAUGUAUGGGUUUGAAAUUUUUUGUGGUAUUAACUCUAAUGAAAAACAAACAAUCUAUCUAAUCCACCCUUGAGUUGAGAAUUUUGCUUGCUGAAUCCUUUCUAUGUAUUGGACCAAAAAGAAAAAAAAUCCCUUCCUAUGUAACAUCCUAAAUUUUCCUUCUAGUUAUUAUGUUAGAAAUUAUUGCUUUAUCUAGAAAUAAGAUUAUAUACUAAAAUAAAAGUAUGACAUCAUUAGCAUUUUAAAUAUUGAUCUUAUGUGAAAUAUAUUAUAUAUAUAUAUAUAUAUAUAUAUAUAUAUAUAUAUAUAUAAAUAUAUAUAAGGCAUUCUUAGCACUGUAUGAUUCCAACAUUAGAUCUAGCGCACAUUGGAUUGCGUAAAUUUCAUUAGCAUUUCCUUGUAAUUAUAAAAGUGCCACUAGAUUAAUGGAAUAUUACGAUAGUGCCAUGGGUGGCAAGAUUAUUGUAUAAUUUAAAUGCCCAAAAUGUCUUUAGGGAACAAAAUUUUAACAAAAUUAUGAGAAUAAUGUUAAUCCACAUGAUCAAUGAUAUUUACUUUCACUCACCUUCUUGGUCUCAAAAGAAAACAAUUCGCUAGCUACUUCUAGAGAAACGCGGACUCCUAGAGUGCCAUAACUUGCAGAAAGAGACACUUAAGUGCCAUAACUUACGAAAGGUACACUUAAGUGUCAAAAUCGGAGCAAAAUGACUCACUUGAGUGCCAAUCCGGCCAAAAUCCGGCCAAAUUGCAUAUGUUGCAUUUUUCCGGCGAAGCGAGUGCAAAAUGACACCGUUUUGCACGCUGACAUGAUCAAAUAAUGCAAAAACGGCAUCGUUUUGGGCUGACGUGGUAAAAAAUAAUUAAAUUAAAUUAAAUUUAAAAUUAAAUUUAGUUAAAAUAUUUAAAAAUAAUAAUUUUAAAAUUAAAAAAGAAAAAAAAAAAGAAAAUGGGGGGAGGCGGCUGAGGGCUCAGCCGUCGCCGCCGGGAAGGGCCGGCGACGGAGGGGAGAGGGUCGGCUAGGGUUGCCGGGCGGCGAGGGUUGCAACCCUCGCCCAGAUCCGGCGAGGGUCGGCGGCCCUUGCCCGGUCGGGCUAAAGGCCACCACCUGCUGAGGCGACCCCCAGCAAGCGGCGGCCCUUGGCCCGGUCGGGCGAGGGCCGUUGACCAUCGCCCAGAUCGGCGAGGGCUUGCGACCCUUGCCCAGAUUCGGCCGGGGGGGGGGGGGGAAAGAGGAGGAAGAAAGGAAACAACCGGCGGUUGAGAGGAGGAAAAAAAAAAAGGGGGGGGGGGGAGGAGGAGAAGGGAGCCAACCGGCAAGGGCUGGGGCCAUUGAGCCCUAGCCGAGGGCCGGCGGCCCCAGCUGACCGGUGGUUAGGGCCGACCCUCCCCCACCUUCCCUCGAUGACGGGGAGGCGGCGGCGGCGAGGGCUCAGCCCUUAGCCGCCGGCUGCCUUUCCUCCUCUUCCGUUUCCCAUUUUUUUUUAAUGAAAUAUAAAUUAUAUUAUUAUUUUAUUUUAAAUUAAAUUAAAUUAAUUUUAUAUUAUAUUAAAAUUCAAAUUAUGCCAAAACGACUUUGUUUUUGCCAACACUCGAAACGACAUCAUUUUGGGUGAAUUAGGGCUGACUUAGCUCUCCGGUGAGCCAUUUUGGUGAAAAAUAUUAAUAUUUAAAUGCAACGUAUGAUUUCCGGCUGGCUUCACCGGAGGUAGCACUCAGGUGUGCCACUUUUUUUUAAAUGUAGCACUUAAGUGUACAUUUCGUAAGUUAUGGCACUUAAGUAUUCAUUUGAGCAAAGUUAUGGCACUUGUAGUGUACUUUUCUCUACUUUUAGAGCUAUUUUAUCACAAGAAUUGUCAACAAAAUUAGCCUCUUAUCGCUCAUUUAUUUUGCCACAUCUACUUCAUUUUCAACCGUAUAUUUGAACUACACAAUUAGAUCAUGCACGACAUCAUAUUUUUUUUUUAAUAACUCUAGCCCAUUAAUGCUUAGAUGAUUACAACUCUUGGCUUCUGCUUUCCGAGUGGCUUCCUCCUCUCUUUUUCUGCCACCUCAUGCCGUAACUUUAGGUCAGCAUGGGGUUGACUUUGACAUUCGCUCAAUUGGGUUUCGUUGAGACCAACUUUUGGGUCGUUCGUAUAGAAACAGCAGCAGGGCUGACCAAUAAACGCACUUGAUUUGAAAUAGGAUUGUUGUGUACAUGAGAGAAGACCGGAUUCCCACAUUUGUCAUUUAAAUAUCCUUCGUGCUUUAGAACGCAUGGGGCAUGCGCAUCCACAAAAGUUGCAUUUGACCCGGGAUUGGUAUAUGGCUGACCAUCUUACCUGUUUGAUCAAGCAAAUUAUCUUGAGCUUCUGGUAUAAUAGGUUUACAUGCUUUCAGUUUCAGGGAUUCCGAGGGGCGCCCGCUACGUGAUUGUUGUCGGGGUUGGUGUCCCGGUGAUUCUGGUCCUCCUGGGCUUACUUUGCCACCUCUGUGGCAGAGUGAAGUCCUACACGAGAGGGCGGCACCCCCGUCGUCAGGGAAUUUUCCACGGCAGUUGCGCCGCGUUCUGCCGUUGUUUCGGGACUUGACAGGGUGGUGAUCGAAUCUUACCCAAAAAUUGUCCUAGGAGAGAGCAAGCGGCUUCCGAAGCCCGACGACAGCACUUGCCCAAUUUGCCUGUCGGACUAUCAGCCCAAAGAGAUCCUCAAGACCAUACCGCAAUGCAACCAUUGCUUCCAUGCAGAUUGCAUUGGCGAGUGGCUUCGCAUGAAUGCUACUUGCCCAGUUUGCCAGAACUCGCCGCCCCGAUCAUGAUGGCAUGUUUCGUGUUGUGUUCUUGUUUCUCUGGCGCUCGAAUUUUUGUGUAUAAAUCUAGAAGUCACUUGACAGUUAAAAAGAGUCUCUCUUAUUAGCUGAAAGAGCUCAAGGGUGUCAGAAAAACCGGACAAACUAGUUCUACUCGGCUUGAACUGAAAGGAAAUGAUGAAGAGUUCGAUCAGCAUGAGAUGAAUGUCUUGUAGUGUUUGACUCAAAAGGACACAAGUAGACCCUUUGAAACCAUGAAGUUGUUCGGUUCCAGUACAUAUCAGUAACCAAUUUCAUAAGCUGAGUUGCCACUCUUUGGCAAGAAUUCACUCUGUUAAUGAAGCCACCGUACCACCCUAAUUCACCAAUACAUUCUCUUUCAAGAAGCUUCGAACUUGCGUCAUUCCCGCUUGUGAUUGAAACGACCUUGAAAACAUUACCCUUUUACUCCUUUAGCGCUUCUGGAGAUACGUUGUCUUCAAUUAAUUAUGUAUUUUAGAACUUAAUCAUCCUCAUGGGAAGGGCCAUUUUUCCUAGCAGUAGUACUCUCAUUCCCUUUUAAAUUGCUGAAUCUAGAUAUUUUCAACUCCCCAAGCAGACAGAAAGCACAAUUCUUGUCCCAGAAACCAAAUGUUACUAUAUUUCCUGGAAUUCAGGACAUGAAAUGCACACAAGAACGAACUGCAUUCACGCUGGGCAAUCAAAUCCAAUAACUUAUUAUCUUACAAACUUCCAGUAAGUACAUAGAUUCUAGGAUUACGUAACAACUUGCCUAGUAGGAAAUAUAAGAGGAAAGGAAUUACUCUAUACAUAUUGGAUCUAAUACUAUAGGUAAGUGGUGGGAGCGCAUCAAUGGUUUCCACUAAGUACAUAGAUUCUUGUAUCACAUAACGUACGGCUUCAGUCACGGAGAGAUGACAUACUGCAAAAGGGCACUCGGAACUUAUUCCGCGAUAACUUCUAGAUCUGUGU